CGGCCUCCUCCGCACCGCGCAACUCGCACGCACAAAAUUCGCGGGGGGAGUGCCCGGUCCUGUUCUUCCAGGAAGGUGCAUUGCAUUGCAGUGCACCCACGACGCAACCAGAAAAUGCUCUCACCACGAAAGCUCUCGGUGGCACCACCUCGGACGACGUGCGUCCCAGGAUCCAUGCGAAUAGCUCAUGCGAUUCGACGUCUUGGAUGUAUUUUAGCCGUUUCUGUAUCGGCGGCAGCAGGAUUGAGAUAAAGAUCCUCUGCAGUCGGUUCAUGCAUGCAUGGUCCUUGUCCUUCAUCGGUGGGAGUGGAGUGGGACUGGACUGAUGCCGCUUUAUCGGAUCCACAUGCCAGCACUGUUAUUUCCUCUCUUCUCGAAAGGAUGCCGCCGGGCGGGCCUCUCGCACCAACACGAUCCACAGCACGCAGAAAUAAAAUCUGCAGCGAGCGAUCGAUCUAAAAGGAGGCCGAAUAGAUGCGCCGCUGAAGCCCCAGGGAAAAAAGCCACGAUUUGCGCAACCCACGAUUCUGCGAGUUUCUUAACGACACAAAAGACAAAAACGAAUGACGGAUACUACUAUUUGAUAACAGCUACGGUUAGAUCCCCCAAAUGAAUUUUCUGAUACGGUUAAAGCAUUGAUCCUGUGCCAGGGCACAAAGCACCUAGGCCAUAUGGGCUUUCACCUGGGCCUUCGUCAAAAACUAAAAAAACAAAAAAAAACUUGUUGAGACAUCAUCUAAGAGCUAGUUUGAGAACCGUAUUUUCUGAAGGGAUUUCCAUUUUUACAAGAGAAAUUAGUUUAUUUUUGCUUGAGAAAAUAAAAAUCUCUUGUAAAAAUAGAAUCUCAAACUAGCCCUAAGUAGGAGUUAUGGCAGUGGCCAAUGCUUUCCAUGACAUGCGGUGCAUCGAUUUGCAACUCAUCAACUCCGCAAAUAUAGUCCUCGUACCCAAGAAAGGAGCAGAAACCGCGGGAGACGAUUUCAGACCCACAAGUUUAAUCCACUCUCUUAUUGAGAUCAUUACAAAGACUCCCACACUUCGAGUAGCCUCAACAUGAAUGAGAUAGUCUCACCUUGCCAAAGUGCCUUCACCAAGAUGAGGAGUAUCCAUGACAACUACAUGGCAGUGCGUAGCAUGUGAUUAGGAGAUGUAAUAGAAGCAAAAUUGCCGCCCUCUUCCCUAAGCUCGACAUUGCCAAAGCAAUUGACUCUGUCAGAUGGGAUUACCUUCUUGCGCUAUUACAACGGCUUGGGUUUCUGACACGUUGGCGUGAUUGGAUUGCAACCAUUCUUUCUUCGUCUGCCUCACGGGUGUUCGUCAACAGGGUCCCAAACCCUCCUCUCCGGCAUGGAAGAGGCCUUCGGCAAGGCGACCCGCUCUCCCCCUCCUCUUCGUCACUACGAUUGACCUUUUACAAAUAUUUCUUGGGGUGCCGACUGAGCUAGGCAUUUUAACUAAAAUGUAGGGACACCUAAUAAAUCUACGCAUUUCCCUCUACGCACAUGACACAACGACAUUCAUCGAACCGAAUAAGAAAGGAGGUGAAGGUGAAUGUGCGCCUUCUAAAAUUGUUUGGCCAAUCAUCACAAACUUACAAAAAUCAACUUUGGUCCCAAUAUGCUGCAAUAGCAUAGACGUGGCUAACAUUUUGGAGGGGCUACAAGUCAAAAGGACAGUGUUUCUGAUGAGAUUUCUUGGCCCUCCUUUAUCUAACUCUAAACUCGAGAAGGUGGACUUUCAGUUCUUGCUAGAUAAAAUCUUGAGUAAGAUCAAUAGAUGGAACAGAAGAAAUAUGAGUGUGGUGGGAUGCCUGACCUUGGUAAAGUCAGUGAUCACCUCUAAGCUAUCUAUGUCCUAUCUGCCCUCAAAGCAACAAACAUUAUGGAGUUCGUGGACUCAAAGCGGAGGUAAUUCCUAUGGACUAGAAUGGAGAGUCACUAGGGGAAUGCAAAGUGAACUAGACUCGUUCAGCAAGACCAAAAGCCUUGGUAGGUUUGGGCAUCCUAUACCUACAAUCUUUUGCAUAUGCACUCGCUUGAGGUGGCUAUGGUAGGAUUAGGCAGCCAUUGUUAGUCUCGACCUCGAUAUUGACUCUCCUUGCACAACAACUAAUAGAGUUGUUGUUCGCAGUAGCGACGUAAAGGACGAUAAGCGCGCUUCAUUCUGGGAUAGUGCGUGGAUGCAGGGAACAAGGCCAAGAGAGCUCCGAAUAUCUUCCAUAUUUAUAAAGAAAAAACAAAUCAUUGAAAGGGACCUUGUUCAAUAAUAAAUAGACCCGGGACCUCAAUCUACAACAUCGUGAUUUCUCAGCCAUGCAUCUUGUGGAGUUAUAUUAGCUCUGGACGAGAGUGAGCCAGAUACAGUUGCGUUUGCGUCCGGAAGUGCCUACUAGUAUAUUUUGGAAACUUUCUAGAAACAACAAGCACCAUCCGAGAUCAGCAUACCAAGAGAGUAGAUCAUUUGGAAGAACUAGGCUCCACUGAAGUGCAAGUUUUCAGCUGGCUAGUGAUCUAGGAUAGGAUUAGAUGAUCGACCACUUGGCGAGGAGGGGAUGACCCCAUAACCCGGUGUGCACACUCUACCACACCUUUCAAGAAACUGUGAUGCACCUCUUCUCCGGUUGUCGUUUUAUCAAGCGCAUUUAGGCAGAGGUGCCAUGCUGGGGGCAGCUGAAGAUAUAUCUCCUAAAGCUUGGGGGUCAACAUGAUCCAGUCCUUCUAUGGCAGAUGGUGAGAGCCAGAGCCUCAAUGCGAAAUAGAGAAGUGGUCUAAGGAGCCCGAGCAUGCUGGUGAUCUAGGAGCUUUGGUGUGAGUAGAAUGCGACAGCUUUCUUAGAUGGCUGCAAGUGCCCGUCUUCAGUCUUAGAUGGCUGUAACUCUAAACCUACCGAGCCUUCUUAUACAUAGUUAGUUAUUUCUUGUAUUUUCUCCCUGGUUUGGCUUAUGGGUGGUCUUCAGUCGUGGGUCUAGCUCCCAGCUAGACCCUGUAUAGACUUGUGCCUUCCAUAUGCCUCUCUUUUUAAUAUAAGAGAUUACUCUCCUUUCUGAUAUAUAUAUAUAUAUAUAUAUAUAUAUAUAUAUAUAUAUAUAUAUAUAUAUUGUCGGCGUUUCGAGACCGGGGGGUCCCUGAGCCGACGAGUGAAGUGUCGCCGCGUGCCCCAGCUCAGAUGGGUCGACGCGAGGCCGAGCGCGAAGGGGGGAAGUGAGGUGGCCGGAGAUGGGCGUGAGAGAGGUGGAAAUCCCGCGGCCUUCGUGUUCGUCCCGCGCCCAGAUCAGGUGCGCUUGCAGUAGGGGGUUACAAGCGUCCACACGGGGGAGGGAGCGAGCGACCUCACGCGAGCGCCCGUCUCGUCCUCGUCCCCGUGCGGCCAACCCUCUCUAAGAGGGCCCUGGUCCUUCCUUUUAUAGGCGCAAGGAGAGGAUCCAGGUGUACAAUGGGGGUGUAGCAGAGUGCUACGCGUCUAGCGGAGGAGAGCUAGCGCCCUAAGUACACGCCAUCGUGGCGGCCGGAGAGAUUUUGGCGCCCGGUUUGUGUGAUGUCGUGGCCGUCGGAGGAGCGCUCGAACCUGGCGGAGGGACAGCUGUCGGGGCCGUCGAGUCCUUGCUGACGUCCUCUUGCUUCCGUAAGGUGGCCGAGAGCCGCCAUCGUCAGGGAGCGUGCGGGGCGCCAUCAUCGCCUAUCUGGCGGAGCGAGCCAGAUGGGACGCCGGUCUUGUUCCCCGUAGCCUGAGUCAGCUUGGAGUAGGGAAAUGAUGGCGCCUCCUGUUGACGUGGCCGGCCCGCGCCCUAGGUUGGGCGAUGUGGAGGCUCCUCCGAGGUCGAGGUCGAGUCCGUCUUCUGUGGCCGAGGCCGAGUCCGAGCCCCUAGGUCGGGCGAGGCGGAGGCCGUUGGCUGAGGCCAGGGCGGAAUUUGAGUCCUGGGGUCGAGCGAAGCGGAGUUCGUCGUCUUCUGGGGCUGAGCCCAAGUGCGAGCCCUGGGUCGGGCGGAGCGGAGUUCGCCGUCUUCCGGGGCUUAGCCCGAGUCCGAGCCCUGGGUCGGGCGGAGCGGAGUUCCCCGUCUUCCGGGGUUUAGCCCGAGUCCGAGCCCUGGGUUGGGCGGAGCGGAGUUCGCCGUUUUCCGGGGCUUAGCCCGAGUCCGAGCCCUGGGUCGGGCGGAGCGGAGUUCGCCGUCUUCCGGGGCUUAGCCCGAGUCCGAGCCCUGGGUCGGGCGGAGCGGAGUUCGCCGUCUUCCAGGGCUUAGCCCGAGUCCGAGCCCUGGGUCGGGCGGAGCGGAGUUCACCGUCUUCCAGGGCUUAGCCCGAGUCCGAGCCCUGGGUCGGGCGGAGCGGAGUUUCCUAUGGUGCGUGCGGCCGGGCCUGACUGCCUGUCAGCCUCACUCUGUCAAGUGGCACCGCAGUUGGAGCGGCGCAGGCGGCGCUGUCUUUCUGUCAAACCGGUCAGUGGAGCGGCGAAGUGACGGCGGUCACUUCGGCUCUGUCAGCUGAGGGGCGCGCGUCAGGAUAAAGGUGUCAUGCCACCUUUGCAUUAAAUGCUCCUGCGAUUUGGUCGGGGUUGCUUCUCGGCGAAGACAGGGCCUCGGGCGAGCCGGGAACGUGUUCGCCGCUGGAGGGGGGCCUCGGGCGAGGCGGAGAUCCUUCGGGGUCGGCUGCCAUUGUCCGAGGCUAGGCUCGGGCGAGGCGUGAUCGAGUCCCUCGAAUGGACUAAUCCCUGACUUGAUCGCACCCAUCAGGCCUUUGCAGCUUUAUGCUGAUGGGGGUUACCAGCUGAGAAUUAGGAGCCUUGAGGGUACCCCUAAUUAUGGUCCCCGACAGUAGCCCCCGAGCAUCGAAGGGAGUGUUAGCACUCGCUUGGAGGCUUUCGUCGCACUUUUUUGCAAGGGGACCAGCCUUUCUCGGUUGCGUUUUGUUCCGGUGGGUGCGCACGAGAGCACCCGCCGGGUGUAGCCCCCGAGGCCUCGGAGGAGUGGUUUGACUCCUCCGAGGUCUUAACGCCUCGCGCAAUGCUUCGGCUGGUCUGGUCGUUCCCUCAUGCGAGCUGGCCGUAGCCCGGGUGUACGGUCGGGUCCCAAGUUCUCGGGCUGGUAUGUUGACGCUGUCAACGGUUUGGCCGCAGCCGGGUUUGCGAGAGCAGCCCCCGAGCCUCUGCACAGGGCGAGAGGGCGAUCAGGGACAGACUCGACUUUUUUGCAUACGCCCCUGUGUCGCCUUUCCGCAAGGAGGAGGGGGGGAGAGCGCCAUGUUGCCCUCGGUGGGCGCCGAACAUGGUGUCUCCGGUGAGCUAUAGGCGGGUGAUCCGAGCGGACGUCCGUGCCCCAUUCGUUAGGGGUCGGCUAGAGGCCCAGAGGCGCGCCCAAAAGUACCUGCGGGUGAUCUGCCGGACCCGGUCCCCUGGCGACGGGGUCCGAGGGCUCGAUGCCUCCCUCCGAUGGGAUUCCGUUACAAGAUCGUUCCCGCUGGUCUCGGAAAUGUCCUAGGGUACCUCGGGAGCGUAGCCCGAGCCUUGGUUAUCUAUCGAACGUACCCAUGGUCAUCCCUCGCUCUGUGUCUGAGGCGGCUGUGAACCCUUCGGGGGCCAGCCUUCGAACCCCUGAUCAGUAGUGGGCGCGGAGCCCGAGUAGCCUGAGGCGGCCGUUGAACCCUUCCGAGGGGCCGGCCUUCGAACCUCUGACCAGUAGUGGGUGUGGAGCCCACGUGCUCUGAGGCGGCUGUUGAACCCUUCCGAGGGGCCAGCCUUCGAACCUCUGAUCAGUAGGGAGGCUCGGAGCCUGGUUCCUUCACAGGGAAGGAUCCCUUCCGGGGUAUCCCCCUUUCCCGGUCCCUGUUGCAAGAGAGAGAAAGAGGAAAAAAGAAAACGAAAUCGAAUGACGCGGUGUACCUUUUUUGACGCGGUCAUUAUGGCGAAGGCGAAGCGUCGCUCGCUUCUCCUGCCAGAGGCUGUCCCGCCGCGGAGUUAAUGCGACGGGGCGAGUGGUUCGCGGGGCGGCCGUUUCGCGUGCGCGAGCCGUUCGAGGAACGACUGUUUCGCUUCGUGUUUUUGAAUCCCGCGGCCGGUCCGGGCAGAACGUUGAACCGGUCUCGCCUUGGUCUUUAUAUACUUGGGGGAGGGUCUGGUGAUGGUUCUUUGCUUCGCUUCCUGCCUUCCUCUUAGGUUUUCGCAACCCGAGAGACUUAGCCAGAGAAAAGGAAACCGCCCACCCUGUCCCUUACGCCGCCACCCCUUCUGCUCGGUGAUGGCCAACCGGGUGACCAUCGUCUCGCCGCGCGACCCGUGGCCUUCCUCCACAGUGACGGCGGGUGAUCUGGAGGAUCUUGUUGCUGAGGGUUUACUUCGCCCUCUCUCUGAUGAGAGGCGGCCGGAAUGGAUUCCCCCCAUGAGCGGAGCCGCUCCGUCCCCACCGCUGGGGUACAUCAUGAGCUUCGCCUCCUUCCACGAGCGGGGAUUUGGUGUGCCGGCGAGCCGCUUUAUGCGGGCGAUCCUGCACCACUACGGGGUGGAGCUGCACAACCUCAGCCCCAACUCCAUCACGCAGGCCGCCAUCUUCGUAGCACUGUGCGAGGGGUACUUGGGGAUCGCCCCUCACUAGGACUUGUGGACUCAUCUCUUUUUUGCGGAGCUUUUCGCUUCGCCGACGAGGGAGAGGAAGGUUCGCGCGGCAGUGCGGGCCGGUGGCUGCAUCCUUCAGCUGAGGCAGUCGCGGGCGUCGCUGUAUAUUCCUGCCAUCCUUGCGUCCUCGAACAAAGGGUGGCAGCGCCGGUGGUUCUACCUCCGGAAUGACGGCGAGUUGCUCCCGCCGUUUUCCCAGCGAGUAGUCACCGUCGCCGCCGAUGCUUGGCGCCACGGGACUCCGCACGAAAGACAGAAGAACCUCGAACCCCUUCUCAAGGCCUUGGAGGCAUUGCGGAAAGGGGGACUCACCGCUGCGGGGGUGAUUGCCGCCAUCCACCGCCGGAGGGUGCUUCCCUUGGCGGAGCGACGGUUGCCGCUCUGGGAGAUGACACCGGAGGCUGACUUGGAGGGCUCGCGGAUGUCCUCGGAUCCUCUUCCCUUCGACGUUCUCCACGGGCGGGUGGCCGUCGCGUUGGGGAAACCAGACCCCAGCGCCUUCUCCCAGCCUUUGAUGCGCCUUGACCAAGGGUGCGUGACUCUGGUGAGUGUCCGCUCCUUCCUUCCUCUUGCGUCGGGUUGCUCCUGGUUUUUACGGUCGGGAUUUCCAUCCGUCUUCAAGAGGUAGGGUGGCACAAGCCUUCCCUGCCACGGGUCCCGCAGGAUGCGGUGGACCGAGCAGCGCGGCGGGUUGCCGCGGAGGAGAAGAAGAAAAAGAAGGACGCAGAGAAGGCCCGGGCCCGCGAGUGGACGCGGGCUCGAGACGCCUUGGAAAAGCUCCGUCGUCGGUAGGAGAGGGAGGGGCUCCCGAGGGAGCCGUCGCCGGAAACGCCUGAUGACGACGACAAUGAUGAAGAUGAUGACGAGGAAGACGACAUGGCUGCCCGCCUCGGCUUCAGCCCUGGCUUGAGGUUAGGCCAGGAGCCGUCAAGCCAGCCCCCGAGUGGGCUGAUGCCGUCAGUCCCUGGAGUCGGGACGCCGAGGUCCCGACCCGAAGAGCGGGGGUAGACCGAGAGGGUACUUGACCCCUUGGUUGGGGGAGUUGAGGCAACCCCGGGGAGCCAGGCCGAGGCGUCUGUUCCCCGAGAGCCGUUGCCUGUGCCGGUAGCGCAGGAGAGCAACCCUCAGGCCGCCGUGGUGGUGCCUGGGCAGCCUGCCUCCCGGGCAUCCAAAGCGCCCAAAGCAAGGGUUCUGCCGAGGCAGCCGGCGAAGCGGACCUCGGCGGCGGCUUCGGGGGUCGAGAUCCGAGAGACCUCCCCUCAGGCACGGUUGAUCAUGGCCCGGAGCGGGUAAGUAUCUUGGAGCGUCUUCGUCUCGGCUUUUCAUUCGCAUGUCCCGACCGUGAUUUUUCUUUUCUCCUCAGGAAGCGAAGCCAUGGCCUGACCGAUCUGGCUCCCCGAAAGGCCCUUAAGACGGCGUCGGCUUCCGCAACCAGCGCCGCUCCGGGCCUCGCCGUUCAGCUGACCUUCUCGCAAGGCGCUCCACAGCAGGGGGCUCAGGCGGCACCAGUCGCCGUGGAACGAGUUCCCGAGGCCGGCUCUUCUGCCAAGGCGGCCAUCGUGCUAGGGGAGGUGGCUGACGCGGACGUGGCCCAGGCCCCACCGGACGUGCCGGCGGUGCCGGCACCUGCUGCUACUGAAGCCGCUGCCGUCACAGUCGAGGAGCGACCUGUCGCUGCCGACGCUGAGACGGCCGAGGCGUCGGCGCUUGGUGCCUCGGAGGAGGGGGGCGUGGAGACGCGAUCCGUCCCGCCGAGCGGCAGCCUUGUCGCUGUGCGGCGGGGCUCCGAGGGUCGGCGCCAGUUGCUCCGGUUCCGGACCCGCGAGGCCUCGGAUCCCUUCUUCGUUCUCGACGAUGAGCGGGAGGAGCAGUCCUAGGACGAGCUCCGCGAGUGUGCCGAAGCAACGGUGGGGUCGCUCCGGUCGUCGCUGGAGGUUUUCUACAGGGACGUCCCCAAAAUCCUCCAGGUAACGGUUUCAGGCAUACCUUUUCUUUUUUGUGGCCAAGGCAUCUUUCGUGACGCCCCGCUUCCUUUCCUCAGGAUCUGACGGAUCUGAGCGCCGCCAAGUCGUCGUUCAUCCGCCACGAGGUCGACGUCUGGGGCUCGCUGCGAUCCCUGAGGACCUCGCUCGCCGGGGCUACUGCGCGCCUCUCUCAGCAGGGCGCUGAGGCGGCGGACCAUCGGUUGCUCUGCACCGAUCUGAGAGCCGAGGCGGCAGCGGCGCGCGCAGAAGUGCAACGACAACAGUCGGAGUUCGACCGGAUCGUCGAUGAGCGGGACCAAUCUCGGGGCCGGGCUGCCGAGGCCGAAAGCCGGGCUAUAGCCCUUGCAGCCGACCUAGCCGUAGCCCAGGUCGCAGCCUCGGAGCAGCGUGCCCGAGCCGAAGGUACGCCUUGGCCAUUUUCGGUUUUCGUUUCAGCUUGUUUCCUCCCCCUGUGUUUGAGAUCUUUCGUUCUGUCUAUUCGCAGAACUCGAGUCCGCCCUUGAUGAGUCCACCAAGGCGCUUGCCAGGGCGGCCAAGCAGAGGGAGGCCGACCACGUGGCCAUGUCCGAGGCCGUCUCGGACUUCUGCCGAGUCCUUGGCUCCGGCGACGUUCCCUCAGGAAGCUCCCCUCAAAGUCGCCUACAGGCCUUGGGCGAUCAUGUGCGCGGCAGACUCCGUGAGGCGCUACACCACGGCGUCAGGCGGGCCUUCGCCGUGCUCGCUUCCCACUACGUCGUGGACCUGGAGCGGGUCAGCGAGGGGUAUUGCCUUCCUGACGAAGAUGAAGCCGCCCUGGCAGAAGUCCGGAGGCUCGAUGCGGCCGUCGCGGGUCCGAGCGCAGUGCUGGCGACCACCUUCGAAGCAGAGAUCCUCCCGCCUGCGCCGUCGUCCGAAGCCGGGAUGGACUUUGCCGAGGGUGGGGACGAAACCGAAGGCGCGGCUCCUUCCCGUGGCGACGCCUAACUCUGUUGGAGCAGUUUCUGUUGGAUGCACGUGUGUCUUUCUGCGGCCGCUGAGGCCUGAACACUUUAUCACCGUUGCAUGAAGUCGCACUCCUUUCCCUUUCAUUUUGCGUGUCCGGCCCCGCCUGUCAGUAGCAGGGUGGCUUCCACAAGUAGGGGUCACUUUUCGUGGCGGGUGACGAGUGAGGUGUCCGUAACCCAGAGGCGUAGGAAUCCCUCGGCUUAGUCAACCUUGCCACUUACAUGCACCCGCGUUCGCUCCUUGGGGUCCUGCUUUCGACAUAGCCGGGGGAACGUCAAAGCCUUUUCGAUUGAAAAAUUUGACGCAGAGGGGUUUCCCCCUUUUUAGCCCCCGAGGGAGGGUCGGGCUCUGCCGAGGCAAGGCCGACCCUUCCUUAAUGACUAAAACUUGCGUGGGGGCAAGGUAAGCGAACGACUUGAAAGCAUCUUAAGGGUAGAGGCGACGUAGCUGCUAGACGUCCGAAGUGUUGGUGCAGAUCUCGCCUUGACUGUCGGCCAGUUCGUUUGUUCCGGGCUUCAGAACUUUGGCAAUGACAAGCAGCCCUUCCUAGGGGUGCGUGUAGCCCCCGGGUGUCUCCAACGAGGGCUCGGGGUGCGGUGGUGGAGCUCCUUCCCAUCGUCCAGCAAGACGAACGACUUGGCGCGCCGUGCCAACCGCCGAGCCUUAGCUCUGUCGAGGGGUAGCUCUCCUCGGCGGAGAUAUCGCAGGUACGGGGUCUGCGAGCUUCGAUUAGGCGUGACCCCGCCUCGCUCCUCCUCGACGCGCAGGGCCUCGCCCUCGGGUGCCAAGGGUGCUCCGGGCCGAGCUGAGGGUGCCUCUGGCCGUGCCGAUGAUGCCUCGGACUGAGCCGAGGGUGCCUCGGGCUCGGGCGUGUCGUCGAUUUUGAUGGAGGGUUGAUGCAGGUCUCGGGAGCAGGCCUCUGGGGGAAACGUUAUUCGCCCCGAGGCGGUACAGAGGCAGGCCCCUUUUGCCAAGGUGCGGGAUGAAAAGGCUGAGGGCCGCAAGACAUCCCAUGACUCUCUGUACGCCUUUCAAGUCCUUGAUGGGCCCUAUGCUGGUGAUGGCUGCGAUCUUCUCCGGGUUGGCUUCGAUGCCUCGCUUGGAGACGAUGAACCCCAAGAGCAUGCCUCGGGGCACCCCGAAGACAUACUUUUCGGGAUUGGGCUUAACACCUUUCGCCUCUUUGAUGAACCCUGCCGCCAUUAGCUCGUGGUCCUCCUCGCUUAUGGCUCUGCGCUUCUCCUCGUCGAAUCAGCGCAGAGGCUGCUUGACGGGUCGGGCUCCGGCUCGGAUGUCCAACGAGUGCUAUGCGACAUCCCUCGGUAUGCCGGGCAUGUCCGAGGGACUCCACGCGAAGACGUCGGCGUUCGUGCGGAGAAAGUCGACGAGCACUACUUCCUAUUUGGGAUCAAGCCCGGAGCCGAUCCGGACUUGCUUGGAGGCGUCACUGCUGGGGUCGAGGGGGACGGACUUAACCGUCUCCGCUGGCUCAAAGUUGCCGGCAUGACGCUUCACGUCUGGCACCUCCUUAGAGAGGCUCUCCAGGUCGGCGAUGAGGGCCUCGGACUCGGCGAGGGCCUCGGCGUACUCCACGCACUCCACGUCGCAUUCGAACGCGUGUUUGUACGUGGGGCCGACGGUGAUGACCCCGUUGGGGCCCGGCAUCUUGAGCUUGAGGUAGGUGUAGUUGGGGACGGCCAUGAACUUCGCGUAGCAGGGCCUCCCCAAUACCGCGUGGUAGGUUCCUCGGAACCCGACCACCUCGAACGUCAGGGUCACCCUUCGGAAGUUGGAGGGUGUUCCGAAGCAGACGGGAAGAUCGAGUUGUCCGAGGGGUUGGACGCGCUUCCCGGGGAUGAUCCCAUGGAAAGGCGCAGCGCCCGCCCGGACCGAGGACAGAUCGAUACGCAGAAGCCCGAGGGUCUCGGCGUAGAUGAUGUUGAGGCUGCUGCCUCCGUCCAUGAGGACCUUGGUGAGGCUGACGUUGCCGAUGACGGGGUCGACGAUGAGCGGGUAUUUCCCCGGGCUCGGCACAUGGUCGGGGUGGUCGGCUUGGUCGAAGGUGAUGGGCUUGUCGGACCAGUCUAGGUAGAUUGGCGCCGCCACCUUCACCGAACAGACCUCCCGGCGCUCUUGCUUGCGGUGCCGAGCCGAGGCGUUCGCCGCUUGCCCGCCGUAGAUCAUGAAGCAGUCGCGGACCUCGGGGAUCUCCUGCCUGGUGAUCUUCCUUCUUGUCGUCGUCGCGGGCCCUACCACCCUCCGUGGGUGGCCCGGCCCUGUGGAAGUGGCACCGAAGCAUGACGCACUCCUCAAGGGUGUGCUUGACGGGCCCCUGGUGAUAGGGGCACGACUCCUUGAGCAUCUUGUCGAAGAGGUUGGGACCUCCGGGGGGUUUCCGAGGGUUCUUGUACUCGGCGGCGGCGACAAGGUCCACGUCGGCGGCGUCGCGUUUCGCUUGCGACUUCUUCUUGCCCUUCUUCCUGGCGCCGCGCUGAGCUGACGCCUCGGGGGCAUCUUCCGAUGGGCGGCCCUAGGGCUGCUUGUCCUUCCGGAAGAUAGCCUCGACCGCCUCCUGGCCAGAGGCGAACUUGGUGGCGAUGUCCAUCAGCUCGCUCGCCCUGGUGGGGGUCUUGCGACCCAGCUAGCUCACCAGGUCGCGGCAGGUGGUGCCAGCGAGGAACGCGCCGAUGACAUCCGAGUCGGUGAUGUUGGGCAGCUCAGUGCGCUGCUUCGAGAAUCGCCGGAUGUAGUCCCGGAGAGACUCUCCCGGCUGCUGUUGGCAGCUUCGGAGGUCCCAGGAAUUCCCGGGGCGCACGUACAUGCCCUGGAAAUUGCCGGUGAAAGCUUGGACUAGGUCGUCCCAGUUGGAGAUCUGCCCCGGAGGCAGGUGCUCCAACCAGGCGCGAGCGGUGUCGGAGAGGAACAGGGGGAGGUUGCGGAUGAUGAGGUUGUCAUCGUCCGUUCCACCCAGUUGGUAGGCCAGACGGUAGUCCGCGAGCCACAGUUCUGGUCUCGUCUCCCCUGAGUACUUUGUGAUAGUAGUCGGGGGUCGGAACCGGGUCAGGAACAGCGCCCGUCGUAUGGCCCGGCUGAAGGCCUGCGGACCGGGUGGUUCGGGCGAGGGACUCCGAUCCUCCCCGUUGUCGUAGCGUCCCCGACGCCUGGGGUGGUACCCUCGGCGCACCCUCUCGUCGAGGUGGGCCCGACGAUCGCGGUGAUGGUGCUCGUUGUCGAGAUGACCCGGGGCCGCAGGCGCUGUGUUGCGCGUGCGCCCGGUGUAGACCGAGGCUUCCCGCAUGAAUCGGGAAGUCGCGGCAUGAUGUUCUGAGGGGUACCCCUGCCUUCGGGAGGCGGAGCUCUCGGCCCGCCGGGCCGCGGCGCCUUCCAGGAGAUCCUUGAGCUCUCCCUGGAUUCGCCGCCCCUCGGUGGUUGAUGGCUCCGGCAUCGCGCGGAGGAGCAUUGCUGCUGCAGCCAGGUUCUGGCCGACCCCACUGGAUGCGGGUGGUGGCCUGACCCUGACGUCGUCGGCGAUGCGGUGCUGGAAGCCCUGGGGUAGAUGACGCAUUUCUCCGACCGGAGGUUGGCCCGCCCAUGCCUGCCCGACGUCCCGGCGGAUUGGCUCAAGCGCUCCUGCUCCCUCGUCGAGCCUGGCCUGCACCCCACGGAUUUGCUCGAGUUGUGGGUCGUGACCCCCCGCCGGAACGGGGACCACAGCUAGCUCCCGCGGGAUGUCAACGCGAGGCACCGGCCUAGGGAGAUCACCAUCCUCCGGCAUGCCGAGAUGGUUGCCUUCGGAGGGACCCCCUAGAUCGACGUGGAAACAUUCGCGGCUCGGGCCGCAGUCCUUGUCGCCGAGGCUACGGCUACCGUCGGAACAGUCGGAAAGGCAGUAGUCGCAUGCGGUCAUGAAGUCCCGCAUGGCACUGGGGUCGCCAAGUCCGGAGAAAUCCCAACAGAAGCUGGGCUCGUCGUCUUCCUCGGACCCAGAGGGCCCGUAGGUCGAGACGUCCGUCAACCGGUCCCAAGGUGACCGCAUACGAGACCCCAGAGGGUUCGGGUUCGCCUCUACGAAAGCGUCCGCCAAAGCGGAGCCGCUAGGCGGGUCGAGGUUAAAUCCGAAAGGCGUGGGAUGGGAAUCGGUCGGUACCUCUUGGUCGAUGGGCGGUGAUGAGGUCACGUCGGGGACUGACUGCACCGUCGUCUUAGGUACGAGGGUGACACCCAGCAAGCCUUUCGCGAGCGUGCUGGCGUCGUCCGUUUGCUCGGGAUUGACGUGUCGCGGGGAGACAACGCUCGUCUUCGUCUCAAGCGCGAGGCCGAUGCCCGGCGCGCCCCCCGUUGGAGUGCUGGCGUUGUCGACUCGCUCGACGGCCGACGAGGCGCUGCCUCCUGCUUGGCCUUGGUUGCCCCGCCUCCUCCUCCUCUGUCGACGGGGAAGAGGACGGGGCGAGCUCGAAGGUUGUUCUUCCACCAAGCGGGGAAGACGUCGUCGAUCCCGCCGCCAGCGGGCGGACUGUCGGCCGCCAUUGUCGCUAUCGCCCGGCGGCGGAAAGAGUAUCAUGUCGUAGCUGUCGUCGAGGGACAUGAACUCAAGGCUCCCAAAACGGAGCACCGUCCCGGGCCGGAGAGGUUGCUGGAGACUACCCAUCUGGAGCUUGACGGGAAGCUGUUCGUCAACACGCAACAGGCCCCUACCUGGCGCGCCAACUGUCGGCGUUUCGAGACCGGGGGGUCCUUGAGCCGACGAGUGAAGUGUCGCCGCGUGCCCCAGCCCAGAUGGGUCGACGCGAGGCCGAGCGCGAAGGGGGGGAAGUGAGGUGGCCGGAGAUGGGUGUGAGAGAGGUGGAAAUCCCGUGGCCUUCGUGUUCGUCCCGCACCCAGGUCGGGUGCGCUUGCAGUAGGGGGUUACAAGCGUCCACACGGGGGAGGGAGCGAGCGACCUCACACGAGCGCCCGUCUCGUCCUCGUCCCCGUGCGGCCAACCCUCUCUAAGAGGGCCCUGGUCCUUCCUUUUAUAGGCGCAAGGAGAGGAUCCAGGUGUACAAUGGGGGGUGUAGCAGAGUGCUACGCGUCUAGCGGAGGAGAGCUAGCGCCCUAAGUACACGCCAUCGUGGCGGCCGGAGAGAUUUUGGCGCCCAGUUUGUGUGAUGUCGUGGCCGUCGGAGGAGCGCUGGAGCCUGGCGGAGGGACAGCUGUCGGGGCUGUCGAGUCCUUGCUGACGUCCUCUUGCUUCCGUAAGGGGGCCGAGAGCCGCCAUCGUCGGGGAGCGUGCGGGGCGCCAUCAUCGCCUAUCUGGCGGAGCGAGCCAGAUGGGACGCCGGUCUUGUUCCCCGUAGCCUGAGUCAGCUUGGAGUAGGGAAAUGAUGGCGCCUCCUAUUGACGUGGCCGGCCCGCGCCCUAGGUUGGGCGAUGUGGAGGCUCCUCCGAGGUCGAGGUCGAGUCCGUCUUCCGUGGCCGAGGCCGAGUCCGAGCCCCUAGGUCGGGUGAGGCGGAGGCCGUUGGCUGAGGCCAGGGCGGAAUUUGAGUCCUGGGUCGGGCGAAGCGGAGUUCGUCGUCUUCUGGGGCUGAGCCCAAGUGCGAGCCCUGGGUCGGGCGGAGCGGAGUUCGCCGUCUUCCGGGGCUUAGCCCGAGUCCGAGCCCUGGGUCGGGCGGAGCGGAGUUUGCCGUCUUCCGGGGCUUAGCCCGAGUCCGAGCCCUGGGUCGGGCGGAGCGGAGUUCGCCGUCUUCCGGGGCUUAGCCCGAGUCCGAGCCCUGGGUCGGGCAGAGCGGAGUUCGCCGUCUUCUGGGGCUUAGCCCGAGUCCGAGCCCUGGGUCGGGCGGAGCGGAGUUCGCCGUCUUCCGGGGCUUAGCCCGAGUCCGAGCCCUGGGUCGGGCGGAGCGGAGUUUCCUAUGGUGCGUGCGGCCGGGCCUGACUGCCUGUCAGCCUCACUCUGUCAAGUGGCACCGCAGUCGGAGCGGCGUAGGCGGCGCUGUCUUUCUGUCAGACCGGUCAGUGGAGCGGCGAAGUGACGGCGGUCACUUCGGCUCUGUCAGCUGAGGGGCGCGCGUCAGGAUAAAGGUGUCAGGCCACCUUUGCAUUAAAUGCUCCUGCGAUUUGGUCGGGGUUGCUUCUCGGCGAAGACAGGGCCUCGGGCGAGCCGGGAACGUGUUCGCCGCUGGAGGGGGGCCUUGGGCGAGGCGGAGAUCCUCCGGGGUCGGCUGCCCUUGUCCGAGGCUAGGCUCGAGCGAGGCGUGAUCGAGUCCCUCGAAUGGACUGAUCCCUGACUUGAUCGCACCCAUCAGGCCUUUGCAGCUUUAUGCUGAUGGGGGUUACCAGCUGAGAAUUAGGAGCCUUGAGGGUACCCCUAAUUAUGGUCCCCGACAUAUAUAUAUAUAGAGUUGUUUGCUAACGGUCCAUCACCUGCAUCGAAUGGUGGGGUUGAACCAACCAGACACGUUGUGAAGGAUGGCCCACGUUCUGUUAUGUAAAAUUUAUCCAAUAUUUAUACAUGCAUAAAAGCAUCAGGCCAUCUGGGUCAUCGGGCUCGUAUACAUAUCCUGGCCGGGGCUCCCCCACGCCUAUCGAAAGCCCAGGGCUCCCAUUACCAACAACCUAUAUAUAUAAUUGUUUGUUAAUUGUCACCUUAUUAGAUAUGUGUGCCCGUGCGUUGCCACGAGAGUUAAAAAUUUGUAUAAAACAUAUAUAUGUAACGAUAACUGUCACUAUGAUAUAAAAAAUCCGUGUAGCAAAAUAUCACCUUAACACUAAUAUUAUAUUCUAAAUAUAGACUGAAUGCUUUGGUAUAUAUUCACAGUCGAAGAUUUAACUGGGAAAACUUGAUUAAUCAUUCACUGAUCAGAUGCAACUGAGAACACAACAAGAACCCAAUUUAGAAAGACGAGAAAGAACCAAAUGCACACGAUUCAGCUCGUCCUUCUGAAUUGAACAUCCAUCAAAGCUAGCAUAACAUAGCUAUAUACAUUUAUAAGUAGGUUAAAAUAGAUCAAGCAAUCUGGGAGAUAAAUAAUGUACUCCUGUAAGUAGCUAACACGACAUUUGGUAUAAGUUUCAUAUCCUUACUUUUCACAUAUGAGCAUUCAUAUCUGCUAGUUAUAAGCAGCAUGUUGUAAAAGUGUUGUGAAAAUGAUUGAGUAAAUUUGACUGUGGUUGAUAGUUAGUCACCAUUUUCUAUAUAUUGUGCACAAAGAGAAGUAUGCCUAAGAAACAUGGUAUAUUUAUUAAAAAAAACUUGACCAACAUAGAAGAGUUUUUAAUUAAGAACACAUACAAAAAAUUGCCUCGACAAUGACUUGGACUUGAGGGAUCGGGUGUGGGCGUACAUGCAUACUGUCGAUCAACUGAGCUUUCUUCAAAUUUUCAUUUUAAUUAAGAACACAUGCAAAAAUUUGCCUCGACAAGAACGCAUGCAGCGUGAGCGGAGGGAGCCACAGGGCCUAGCUUCGGAGGCUAGUUGCAUGCUUGCAUGCAGCAUGAGUGGAUGAGGGGGACACCCGUAGCUUGCAUAAUUGCAUGCUUGCAUGCCGUGUGAGUGGGAGAGUAGGUGCAUGGUGAGCGGGGGCACGUUUUAGUCUACAUUACCUUCUUAAUAGUUAGUAUAAGUAGAGAGAUGAUAAGUUCAACGGUCCAUCACCUGCAUCGAAUGGUGGGGUUUCUAACCAGACACGUGUAUGUAACUCGAUUGGAUAUGUUGGGUACGUGGAGUGUAUAUGAUAGAUUAUUCACUCUAGAUGACAAAUAGUGGAGAGAGAGAGUAGGCGAGUGCGCGUGCGUGAGUGUGCAUUUUUUGCGCGCUGUUCUUUUCUCCUUUUUCUGUCUAGAUUCGGAAGAUGGAAAAGAAGUGAACAAAACCGCAAGAUCAGAUCACGUACGCGAUUUUGAGCAGUAGUACAUUGCAACAAUGUCUGUGGAUAGGGGGUGCGAGCUAGGAACGUCGUUGGUUGUGCCCUGGCCACUGAGCAUCAAGGAAACGAAUUUCCUUUCUUUGUUAAGACUUAAGAUACACACCGUACGUACCGUGGACGCCUCUUUUGGCUUUUGGUUUUGUUUUAUGUGGACAUGAAGGAACCACAAGCACCGAUGACCCCAAAUAAACCUUAACAUCUGCAAUAAAGUAAUGGUCCGGGCGUGCAAGAAUCGUGUAGCUAACUAACCUAGCCUAUAUUAUUGCAGCCGGUGUGGCAAACCGAGAGCACUCGCGGUGAUCAAGAGGUCAAAAAAUGCCGCUCUCUUUACGAACAUUCCUUUUUCGCGAAAGGCAUACCCCUUGGCCCUUUCGACGUACGUGGAGGCUUCUGCACAUCAUAUCGAGCCAUACUCUAUGGAUGGAUGUUGGAUGAGUUCUCUGGUUAAUUCUUCAGAGCUUUUCUUUUUUUUUCUUGUGCAGCAAACAGUUUUCCUUUUUGACAAAAUGGAGUGUCGGCAGGCGCAGAAACGAAACGGCAGUGCAGAGUUGAAGUUGAGGAUUUUCCACGCAUUUCUUCAAGGGAGUCGGCCUCCUGUCCCCUCCCUCCCUGUCCCUGCCCCCUGGUAAUGUGUGGAUGUUUCUGUCACCGCUUUUACUUUGACUUUCUGAUCCGACCGGAGUGCUCGUGCGGUUCCCAAAAGCUCGUGAUCUUCUUGCGCUUCGUUGAUGGCCACCUUUGUUAGAGCAACUCCAAUAAUUUUCUAAAAAUAGCUUGCUAAAAUCAUAUUUAGCAAGGUGCUAAAUAGCUAUUGAAAGUAAAAAAUAGAUUAGUCUCCAAUAGUUACUCAUAUUUAGGAAGUAGUUCGAUUUUGAAUCUAGCUUUAGCGGCCCUGACCCUAUGAGAUCUGCCUGACAAUAAGGUUGAGAGCACAGGAUGUGAUGGCAGAAGAGAAAAGGCCGGUCGAUAUGAACUAUGGAGGAGUGGUGGUCCGGUGACUCAACCUAUGAGGAAGUUGGGUUCAACGGUGAAGGAGAAACUUGUGCAGUUGUGCACACAUGUUUGACCUAGCUACCUCAUUAUGCUAGAAAGUGAAAAAAGAGUGUGAUAUACCUGGCUACCUCACUGUGUAGGAAAUAAAAAAAAUAAUCACGCUAGUGUGAAGAAAUUGAUGUCAACUGCAUUUAGGGAGUUUCUACCGAGUUGCUAAAUGUGGAGAGUAAAUAGAGUUGAAUAGCAACUAAAUAAAUUUAGCAAGUCUAUUUAGAGAACCAUUGGAGAAACAUUUUUCUGUGCAUUUCUUAAAUUUAAGAUUUAGAGAGUUGUUUUGAGAACUAUUAAAGUUGCUCUUAGUACUACUGCAGUUCCUUUUCGUAUAUUUUACCUCUUUUUUUUACCGACCCGUGAAACCCGUGACAUGGUUGGUAAUUGACGCUAGUACCCAAUCACGUUAAUGCGUGACAGUAAAAAAACCCACUACACCACUAUAAACUAUGCAAAGUAAAUAAGCUCCUUUCUAGGAGUGCUGCGUCACUUCAAAUUAAAUUAUUGAACGAAUGAAAUAUAUUACACGGUCUUUGCCAUUAAGUUAAUAAAGUGGAUGAUUUCCUCGUCAUUUCCACCUUCUUAAAAUAGACUCUAUCUUUGCUAUCAAACGACACAUACUCAGUCUAGGUGGGUUUGCCAAGCCUCAACAAAUUAGAGUUACCUGGACUUCAACAGUUCAUUAAGCACACCCACUGAAAAAAGAUCAUUUCAAUGGGAAAGGGUGGCUCUCCCUUUUAAGGUGACUUCAUCCUCCCAAAUUAAACGAGGUUGGAUAAUUCAGAGGCUCACACGGUCGCCGUCCGACUACAAAUGAGCCAAUUGGGACAAUUGUGUAUUUGUCAAUAGGUAAUAGUUGAGGAUGUACUCAUCAAAAGCUUCUUUUCUUACAUUCACAGAUGAUAACCCAUGUGUGACCGACUUGUUGCUAGUUAUCCUAAAGGAGGCACAAAGCAUGUCAUAACUCCUUUUCACAUCUCUAGCCAUUAUUUGCAUAGAGUCUAUGCUUUUCUUUCUAAGUUUAGCACGAUCCGAUUGAGAAUAUCUAGCUAAAUCUCAUUCAUUUGGCUUGAGUUAGGAGCAACAUAUGAAGCCGAAUUGUGAUUAUUUCCAUUAUCAUAGGUCGCCGAAUUUUUAUUAAUUUCGCUAGAGCUAGAGGUAGCAUAUAGUGAGUCAAAUUAUGAGCAUGAGCCUUUACAUAUAUGAUGCUAAAUUUAUAGGUGGAACCUCUACUCUAUUACCAUAUUAUGCAUCAUAUAAAAAUUGAGAGUGAGUGGUUGAAUAAUUAGCAUCACCAUAGCCAAUUCUUUCAUUCGUAGAUAUGUCUUGUUUUGGAACCACAUAUUGUAUAUUUAUAGUUGAUGAAUAAUGAUAUGCAUGUUAUAUGUUGCUAGUAGCAUUAAAACCCAUAAAAUUCAUAGUUGAUAUCGACUCGUGAACAUGAUACCCAACAUUAUUAUGAUGUUUAGAAUAACGACUAUUAUCAACAUAAUAAUUAUCUGAUGCAAUAGAUCUACUAUUGUUAUGACUAGCAACAUCAACAUGAGAAUUCAUAUGACUUGCAAAAAUAAUUAUUGGAUCACAUGAUACAUUUGCAAGUCAUAUGCCUCACGGUAACUCCAUGAGCAAUAAUCUGACCAUCUUACUAAUUUUUAUAGUAACACCUUGCACAAUAGUAAGCAAGAUCACAAGGUGGGGUCAAAACAAGACGCGAUCAACAGGGGCGAAGCCAGGAUCCAAAAUUAGGGGAGACUAAAUUAGAUUAGGGGGACUGUUAGAAGUAUUUUUUGCACUAUUUAUAUGAGAAUUAGCUAAAAAACUAGCAUGUGCUAUAGAAUUAGGGGAGCAUUAGGGGGGACAUUGCCCCAUGUGCCUCCCUGUCGUCGCCCCUGGCGAUAAACCUUUUGGGCCAAAUGCAAUGGUAAUAGCGAGUACAAGAAGGACGAAGAAUAUAAGUAUGUAAAGAUAUUUAUAUAUAUAGUAGAGUCAAAGCAUCCCAUCCCCAUUAGAGUUACUAAGAAGUGCGUUGAUGCCAAAUUGGACCAUACACCAGUUAGGCUCUGUGGGGGACAGAUGUCCCCCGAGUCCACUGGAAGGAUAAAAGACCUCACGAAAGGCCCAAGGGUCCAAUAAGUCGUAAGGUCAUCCUUUCGUGGGUCUAGGGGAGGAACAACCAGUGAAGCAGAUUGACAUAAGGUUGGAUCGGAGCAAGCUCAGACGGCCCAAUGAUCUCGAGCGAGUAAUCACAACAGAGACCCGAUCUUCCCGCGCUGGAGGCCCGUACAACGAGCCGAGCGAAGAUGGGUCGGCAGAACUAUAGGAAGAUAGACUCAAUCGGUUUACUAUCUCUUAGGUGCACGUAAUUAUCAUAUCAGCAUGUAUUGCCCCACGAUCGAGUAUAUAAGGCCUAGGGGGCACCGCUUCAGAAGGAAUCGAACCCACUACUUAGCCAUCCAACCCAGCUUCCUACACAUUAGAGAAUCACCUUGUAACCCAUCAUAUACAACACUCUCGCCAGGACGUAGGGUGUUACGCACUCCAAAGCGGCCCGAACCUGUAAAUCAUUGUCUACCGUCUCUCGUGCUACUAGCACGAACCAUUGAGCUACAGCUGAUAACACCGUCCUACUUCAAAAAACACCUUGAGGGGCAACCCCGGGUGUGCGGUCGGACCCAAAACACCGACAGCUGGCGCGUCAGGUAGGGGGUGUGUCGUCGAUCCAAGCUAGCUCAAUGGCCAUCACCUUCCUGCACAAGAUCAUCUUCCGCCCUGGGUCCACAUUCUGCUUCGGAACCAUCUCAGCUGUAGCGGAAGAGGAGGGAACUCUACAUCGCAUUGCGGACCUGACGGAGAGAAGAUCUUCCUCAAAAAUCUCCAUGAAAAUCGGGGAAAAGCAGGAAAAGGCGCAACCUCCAAUGCUCCAAAAAAGGAUCGCCUCCGGCAGGACAGAGGCUCGAGGCCCGCCAACUCGGAAAACUCCAUUGUCUACCUCUCCGACGGAAGAAUGGACGCAAAUCACAAGAAAGAAAGAAACAAAUAAAAUCGGGAGGAAGCAAGUCGUUCUUUCUGCGCCUCCGCCCUCAAAGGAGAACAGAAAGAAAAUCGUCACGACAACUAUAUCAUUCUACCUCGACGUCCUCUUCAUCGGGAGAGCGGAGUCGCCCCCAUCUCCGACGAUGAGCCGACUGUACCCGGAGAGGAACCUCCUCAGUGGGAAUCCCGCCGACGAAGGAACCGACGUCGAAAUAUCCGGAGACACCACGAGGCCAGAGAGCGGGACCCGGUGCAGCCUGUGUCGUGAGACGAGGCCUCAGAGAUGGGAGAAACCCCGGAAGAGUGUGUCUUCCGGGAAAGGAGGAAUUCCCGACGACGCGAUCACCGACGAGCUCAAGAACAGGCCGAACAGGAAACUAAGCAACGUCGGGAAAAUCUUCUCUUCGGGCGCAACCUGAACCCCGACUUCGCCCGAGCCUUGAACACGCCAAGUGAAGUCGGCGGAGUACUGGCCGACGGUCUCCCUCGGACUCCCGAUGUCGAGGGCUACCGGCGACUGUUCACUCGAGCGGCCAUCCACCUUCUACCUCUCGCGCAUCCGCCGAAUGAUCUAUGACAUACCAUCAACAGUCAGUGGGACGCACGGAGCUCCAUCAACGCUUCACGCGAACGAUGACAUGAGAGCGAGAUCCGUCGCCGGGAAGAAUAUGACAGGGAUCACGACAUCCCAACCCGGAGUCAGGCCAACAGGACCGAUUCGGCAACGGCUUCGACUGGCGGCACCACCUAGGGACGGUCGAAGCACCACGACAACCACUCCCCUCCCUGGGACAGACAUUAUCCUCGACGACAGGAGGACACGUGUGGAGUGUCGGCACUUACUCCGCGCCUCAGAGCCAUUCAAUGGCCCCCUAACUUCAAGGUAUCCAACGUUGACAAAUAUGAGCCUAAGCAGGAUCCGGGAGGCUGGCUGGCCGUCUACACUACCGCUGCCCGAGCCGCCGGGGCGACCGAGGACGUGAUGACCGCGUACUUGCCCAUCGUCCUCGGGCAAGAUGCACUGCAAUGGCUGCGACACCUUCCACGACAUUGCAUCGAUGAUUGGAGCGAUUUCAGUCGACGCUUCAUCGCCAACUUCCAGUCCCUCUCCGACAAGCCGGCGCAACCAUGGGACCUCAAAUCCAUCAAGCACCGGGGGGACAAAACUCUCAGGUCAUACCUCAAAAGGUUCCAGACCAUGAGAAAUCGUAUCCCUAAGGUCGCGGAGGCAGCAGUAAUCGAGGACUUCUACAGAGGCUCCGACGACGCGGCCUUCGUCCGCGCCAUAUUACAGAAAGCACCAACUACCUCCGAGCAGCUAUUCAAGGAAGCCGACCUCUACAUCACUGCCGACGAACGGGCUCGGGACCUCAUCAGAGGAGCGAAGCCAGCACCGACCGCGCCACGACGCGACACGAACCAAUAGCCCGACAAGCGCUGGGAGAAGAGGCCUUGCGAAGAAGUUCACGCCGCCGGACCACCCGCCUCUCGCGCCCGGGGAGGACCUCGUGGAGGCGAACGUACGCUGGACGACAUCCUCGACACCCAGUGCCCGUACCACAAGGACAUGCGCCACACCCUUCGGAACUGCAGAGACUUCAAGCACUCCGUUGGGCACGACCGACCUUUCCAGCCUCUACCUCCUCCUCCGCCACGGGGAGGACCAGAACCGCGAUAACCCCAGCAACAGGAGGAGGGAGGAGAUGGAGCCUUCCCGCGCGUCGACAGAGAGGUCAACGUCAUCUUCGGCGGACAUGGAUCACAGGAGAACAAGAGACAACAAAAACUCAACGAUCGCCAAAUAUUGGUAGCGACCACCGGUCCUCCCGCUCCGUACCGAUGGUCGGAGCACCCAAUCACUUUCACUCGGGCAGAUCAGUGGCUCAACUUCGACCACCCGGGCAAAUACCCGCUCCUCGUUGAUCCGGUGAUCUGAGAGAGUCGGGUGAAGAAGGUACUAGUGGACGAGGGGAGCAGCAUCAACGUCACCUUCCCCCGGACGCUUCAAGGAUUGGGAGUUCACCUCAAAGAGCUCCACGAGUCCGAUACUCCUUUCUUUGGCAUUGUGCCGACCGAAGGAGAAUACCCGCUGGGCCACAUCUACAUGCCGGUCACCUUCGAAACUAUGGAGAACUACAGAACCGAGUUCCUGAGGUUUGAGGUGGCGAACUUCGACUGCGGGUACAACGCCAUCAUCGGGAGGCCUAGAUUGGCGAAAUUCAUGGCCAUUCCCCAUUACACCUACAUGAUACUGAAGAUGCCAGGGCCGCAGGGGAUCAUAACUGUGCGCGCUGACUUCCAAGGCGCCACAGAAUGUUUCCGGGUGGCCAUCCAGGCGGCCCUCACCACCAAACCGUCGGCGACUUCUUCUACGCAGGCAAACUCUAAGCCUGAAGAAAACCUCGCGGUACCUGCGAACGAGGCUCAAGCUGCGACCUCUAUGCGGCCGACUGAAGAAACUAAAAGGAUCAACCUCGGGUUCGCUGAUGAACGCAAGACUGCCAUCAUCAGCUCCAGCCUGGAUGACAAAUAGGAAAACGCGCUCGUCCGGUUCCUGCAAGAUAACCGAGAUGUAUUCGCAUGGCAACCUGCGGAUAUGCCGGGAGUCUCGAGAGAACUGGCUGAGCACAAACUGAAGGUCUACCCCCAGGCGAGGCCGAUUCGGCAAAAAUUACGUCGUUUCACGCCCGACAAGAGAGAAGCCAUUCGCGCUGAGCUGGCUCGCUUGGUCGCGGCCGGGUUUAUUAGAGAAGUGUUACAUAUCGAGUGGCUGGCUAACCCUGUUCUUGUACUCAAAAAGAAUAAGGUGGAUUGGCGCAUGUGCGUCGACUAUACGGAUCUUAGCAAACACUGUCCAAAGGAUCCCUUUGGGCUCCCCAGGAUAGAUCAGGUGGUAGAUUCCACCGCUGGAUGUUCUAUGCUGUCCUUCUUGGAUUGCUACUCUGGAUAUCACCAGAUUAGCUUGGCGAAAGAAGACGAGGAAAAAACGGCGUUCAUCACUCCAUUCGGUGCUUUCUGCUAUACCUCCAUGCCGUUCGACCUCAAAAACGCUGGAGCGACUUAUCAGAGAGCUAUUCAAACAUGCUAAGCCGAUCACUGGGGCAAGCGUGUGGAAGCUUAUGUGGACGACGUGGUAAUCAAAACAGAAAAUUCAGAAAAUUUCAUCAAAGAUUUACAACUGGUUUUCAACAGUCUACGACAAUAUCGAUGGAAGCUUAAUCUCGAAAAAUGUGUCUUCGGGGUACCAGCAGGAAAGUUACUUGGGUUCAUUGUCAGCCACCGAGAAAUCGAGGCCAACCUAGGAAAGAUCGAGGCUAUUAUGAGGAUGGAGGCACCACGGUCGCAGAAGAAAGUGCAAAGACUCACAGGAUGCAUGGCAGCUUUGAGCAGAUUCAUAUCGAGGCUGGGAGAAAAAGGCUUACCAUUUUAUAAGUUGCUCAAGGAGGUAGACAAAUUUCAAUGGACUCCAGAGGCACAGGAGGCUCUAGAGGCACUGAAAAAAUUCUUGACAACGCCACCAGUGCUGAAACCGCCGCGUCGAGCCACGCCAACUCAACCAGCUGAAGAUUUACUGCUAUAUAUCUCUUGCACGACUCACAUGGUGAGCACCGCGUUAGUAGUCGAGCGAGCAGAAGAAGGACAUGCUUAUCCAGUGCAAUAUCCUGUUUAUUUCAUCAGCGAAGUUCUGGGUCCCUCGAAGAAAAAAUACCCUCAAGUUCAGAAACUAUUAUAUGCAGUACUUCUAACUGCACGCAAGCUCCGUCACUACUUCGACGACCACAAAGUCGUAGUAGUCACUGGUUUUCCAAUAGGGGACAUUCUUCACAACAAAGAAGCCAUCGGGAGAAUAGCCAAAUGGGCCUGCGAGCUGGGAUCUCACGACAUUGAAUUUCGACCUCGCACUGCCAUCAAAACUAAAGCACAGGUUGACUUUGUAUCGGAGUCGACCGAACAACAAGUACCAGAUAACCCAGAAACUGCAGAAGUAUGGCGAAUGUAUUUUGAUGGCUCAUUAAAGCUGCAGGGAGCGGGCACAGGGAUCCUCUUUACUGCACCUGGAGGCGAACACCUCAGAUAUGCCCUACAGUUGUUAUUUCCAGCGUCUAACAAUGCAGCAGAAUAUGAAGCUCUGACUCACGGACUGAACAUUGCUAUAUCAUUGGGCAUCAAGAGAUUGAUGGUAUACGUGGAUUCUAUGGUGGUAAUAAGUCAGAUAAACAAAGAAUGGGAUUGCUCGAACGAUUCCAUGAGAAAAUACUGCACCGCCGUCCGGAAAUUAGAAGAUAAAUUUGAAGGUCUGGAAUUUCACCAUGUGGAGAGAGAUCAAAACACGGCGGCUGACAUGUUGUCCAAGCUAGGGUCCAGUCGGACUCAAGUCCCGCCUGGAGAAUUUAUCCAAGAGAUAUCACACCCAAGCAUCUCACCGGGUCAGGCAGAGGAAUGUAAUACUUUGAGCCAACCAGAGUCAGAUUCUGAUGACUGGAGAAGGCCGAUCAUCAGGUAUAUAAAAAAUGAGGAGGAGCCAGACGACAAGAAUGCAGCCGAGCGCAUCGCAAGGCAAUCGGCUCACUAUACACUCAUUGGGGAAACACUAUACAGAAGGGGUGCAUCAGGAGUCCUCAUGAAAUGCAUUCUCUCAGCUACUGGAAAGCAACUUCUGGACGAGGUCCAUGCAGGGCAGUGUGUUGUGCACGCAGCGUCCAGAACCCUGGUCGGGAAGGUCUUCAGGUCAGGUUUCUAUUGGCCAACAGCGAAGAGUGACGCAACCGAGUUAGUCCAGAGGUGCGAAGCCUGCCAGUACCUGUCAAAACAGCAGCAUCUACCAGCACAGCAACUGCAAACGAUACCCAUAACUUGGUCGUUCGCGUGCUGGGGACUGGAUAUGAUUGGACCUUUCAAGAAAGCUCAGGGAGGAUACACUCAUGUGCUGGUGGCUAUCGACAAAUUCACUAAAUGGAUAGAGUUCAAACCCAUUGCUUCCUUAACUUCAGCCAAGGCGAUGGAGUUCAUACAAGACAUAAUAUUCAGAUUUGGAAUACCGAAUAGUAUCAUAACUGACUUGGGAUCCAACUUCACAAGUUCAGAGUUCUUUGAUUUCUGUGAGCGGAAAAGCAUUCAGAUCAAAUACGCUUCGGUGGCACACCCAAGAGCCAACGGGCAGGUUGAAAGAGCUAACGGGAUGAUAUUGGAGGCCCUCAGGAAAAAAGUCUUCGAUAAAAAUGAAAAGUUUGCAGGGAAAUGGAUAAGGGAGUUGCCCUACGUCGUUUGGAGCUUAAGAACUCAACCCAGUCGAGCUCUGCAUGGAAAUACCCCUUUCUUCAUGGUCUAUGAUUCAGAGGCUGUGCUACCUGUUGAUCUCAAGUUUGGGGCGCCAAGGUUGAUCUUUGAAAACAUAGCAGAAGCCAAGGCUACUAGGCUGGAGGAUGUUGAUGUACUCGAAGAAGAACGGCUGAACACGGUAAUUCAAUCAGCACGGUACCAGCAAACCCUGAGGCGCUAUCACGAUAAGACCAUGAGACAUCGAUCCUUCGCAGUGGGAGAUCUCGUCCUCCGCCGAAUUUUAACGGGGGAGGGGCGGCACAAGUUGUCACCUCUAUGGGAAGGACCAUUCAUAGUAGCAGAAGUCACUCGGCCAGGAUCAUAUCGUCUCACGCAGAUGGAUGGCACGGAAAUCGGGAACUCAUGGAACAUAGAACACCUUAGGAAGUUUUACCCCUAGCUGUAUUCCAAAAGCUAUUGGGACGACAAUGUACUCUGUAAAGUGGGAAAUAUAUCAUCAAUAAGAAGACUUCAAGAGCGCUCAAAUUGUUCAUUGUCGACCUGCAUUCUUACUUAACUCAGGGUUACCACUAUGCCCUGCUAACGGAGCAAUCGACUUAAGUCGGCGACGACUUAAGACGGUGCGACAUGCUCACACUUACUUGACUCAGGGUGACCACUAUGCCCUGCUAAUGGAGCAAUCGGCUUAAGUCGGCGACGACUUAAGACGGUGCGACAUGCUCACGCUUACUUGACUCAGGGUGACCACUAUGCCCUGCUAACGGAGCAAUCGACUUAAGUCGGUGACGACUUAAGACGGUGCGACAUGCUCACGCUUACUUAACUCAGGGUGACCACUAUGCCCUGCUAACGGAGCAAUCGGCUUAAGUCAGCGACGACUUAAGACGGUGCGACAUGCUCACGCUUACUUAACUCAGGGUGACCACUAUGCCCUGCUAACGGAGCAAUCGGCUUAAGUUGGCGACGACUUAAGACGGUGCGACAUGCUCACGCUUACUUAACUCAGGGUGACCACUAUGCCCUGCUAACGGAGCAAUCGGCUUAAGUCGGCGACAACUUAAGACGGUGCGACAUGCUCACGUUUACUUAACUUGGGGUGACCACUAUGCCGCACCAACAGAGCAAUCGGUUGGAAGCUGAUACUAACUCAAAACGGCGCGACACACUCAGCGCGUAUACGGUUACUCAUCCAGAGGUGGCCUCUAUGUCCCAUGAAGAGAUCUCGAAACCAUCACACUUCAUUUUACUUCUACAAAUAUAGAUACGGUUGAAUUCUAAACAAUAUGAGAAUGAUAGUAGCAUUCAAUACUAAGAAGGUGUCCUCUAACAAAAUAUCUGAGCACGCUAAACGCGCGUUCAAAGCAUACAAUGUUUUUCUAUUCUGCAACAUUCUUCUCAGGAGCAACCGACGAAGAAGGACGACUGGAGGAAUCAGGAGCAGCGUUCACAUCUGCCACUAUGUCGUCUGGGACAAUCACACCAGGUCUCCUCAUCAGAAUCCGCCCCGCGCGAAUAGCUUUAUCCAUAGCUUUAUCGCGCUGGGCCCUCAGAGUAGCGGAAGUCUCUUCAGCAACCUUGACAACCAACUGAGCGGUCUCUAGCUCCUGGGCGACAGAUUUCUUGGAAGCACGCAGAUUCUUGAUGACAACAUCUUUGGCCAAUAUCAACUCCCUGAGGCGAAUCACAUCAUCCAAGGAUUCCUGCAGCUUAUAACGAAGAUUGUCUAACUCCUCCCUGGUAAAGCGAUGACUCCUCUCCAAGAUGGUCAGCGAGUUGCUAGAGUCACGAUACAACCCGUCAAGAUUGUCGCGAGAAGUAACAAGGGCACGUUUUUCUUCCUGCAAGCAAGAAUCAGCUCUUUCAGACGUCAAGCAAGUAAUAAAAGCACAUCAAAACAAAACCCGGAUUCACAGGUCACCUUCUCAGAGUCAAGCUGAGCGCGGAGAGUAGAGUUCAGCGUGUUGGCGUCAUUCAGAGAAGCAGAGACCUGGGCCAGCUCUGUCUGACUUUGGGAAUACUUUUCCUCAAGAUCAGAACACCGCCGGACCAGUUCAGCUUGGUCUUGAGAGCGUUUUUCCUCAAGAGCAGAAUACUGUCGAGUCAUAUCUAGCGAGAAGCAAUCAAGCAAAGGUGUUAAAAUAAGAAGCAGUUUGAUAAGGUAGCCAGAAGGAAGCAAAAGAGCACUGACCAGCAUUCGCCGCCUCUAAGUCAGAAACACGCCGCUGAAGCAGCACCGGAUUCCAACGCGCCAGAGACAAAGCUCCUUCCGGGACAGAAGCACCCUGCAACCUCAGCCGACUAGACAUCUCAUCGACCAACGCCUGGCAUUAAAAAGCAGACUAGCAUGAGAAUAAUUACCUGCUUGGGUAAAAGUCAGAUCAGAAGAAACCAAAAUACCUGGAAGUUGGAGAAGAAGGAAGCGACUCCCAAAUUGUGAGAGAUCAACUGAUGGCUCGGCAAAGGAUCACCACUUGGAGCAACUUGCAACGAUUCAGCAGGGACCAAUUCAGUGACAUCAGCAGAACCCAAGACCUUGUCAUCAGGUGCGCUGGCCUCUAAAGCGACCCCCUAACCAAAGGCUUGGGCUGUUACCAUGCAACCAGAGUGUGGAGGAGAGGACCCUACAUGAACAUCCAUGGAAGUGCAAGAGGGAGAACCCGCUCGGACACCCUCGGGGGCUGGAUCAUAGCUGGCACUACCCAUCCGAGCCGGAUCAUCUCCGGCAGCACCCUCGGGGGCUGGGUAGUAGCUGGCACUAUCCAUUUGAGCCGGACCAUCUCCGGCAGCACCCUCGGGGGCUGGGUAAAGGCCAGCACCGUCAUUGAGGGCCGAGUUCUCUGCAGCAGCCAUCUCUAAGGUUGAAGGUCCCUCAGCCACUUCCAUGGGAGCAGGGAAAUCCAAACCAGCCUCCCGACCCUCGAGACCGCACUCCAAGGUCGACGAGGCGCGGGACGCUGCCCGGGAGGACCCCAACCCGGCGUCGAGCACAUCAACAUGAACAUCCAUCGCGCCACCAUCUGCCGGUUCUGAUAGCAGAUCUUCUGGAAUCAUGUCCUCGAGAGCCUGAUCAAAGUUCGCCAGAGACAAUUCUUGCAGACCAAUGAGGGCAGAUAAGGCCGGAGAAGGAACACCGCUACUUUCCCCACUAGCAGCGUAACGACAGCUGUUUUUCCGAAUCAGGGGGAUUUCAUCUUCUUCUUCACCGUUAUCAUCAGCAAGGCGGACAGUACACCCAUUGGGAUCAGCUUUAGUGAAUUCAGGCACUGGCACUUCCUCGGCAACAGGAGCAGAAGGACCGACAUCUUGAUCCAAGCUAGACACCUGACGAAGGCGUCUCUUCUUCUUUUUCUCCCCCUCAGCAGGAAAAGAGGCUUGGUCAACUCGGCGAGAACGUUUUGGACGAACAUUGACAGGCUUCUGAGCGUCCAAGGCUUUGUCAGCUUCAGGGAUGGGUACCACCACCAAUGUUUCAGCAGGAGCAGCAUCAGAAGAAUCCCCAGCCAACAUAUCCAGCAUGGCACCUAUCUCCGCAUCACUGGGAUCCAAGGGCACUUCAAAGUGGACCUGCCAUUCGUCAUCAGGAAUUUCUCCAAGCAAAGCAACCAAAGCACUAACUUCUUCGGCAGAGGGUCGCACUCUAAGGCCCAAACCGCCAUCAGCAGAAGGAGGACUCGACACGAAAUAAGUAAAGGCUUUGGAAGGAGGCAGGUUCCAGGUCGAGUAUGCAACAGGGGCGCCAACGUUUGAUACCUUGCCUCUAAGUAUCAUUUCAAGCCGGUUCACCAAGUCCAGAGCAGGGAUUCUUCUAUUGGUGACCCGGGUUGAGUCAGCUAGACCUCGAUACAGAUAGGCCGGGUAUGCCCUGUCCUUCAGUGGCUGAAUAUUCUUGAAGACAAAGUCAGCAACCACAGCCUCGGCAGUCAUACCCCUCUCCUUCAGCAAUCCAACUUCAGCUAGCAGAGCCCCUGCUUCAGCCACCUCCUGGUCUGUGGGGGACUCGGUCCAACUCGGAGUACGAACAUCCGGCUGUCUCCCUGACCGUGGUGGGAGGGAAUUCCCAUGAUUUUCCACGAUAAACCACUCCAAGCGCCAUCCUUUGAUGCUGUCUUUGAGUGGGAUGUCAAGAUAAUCGGUUUUCCUCCCGCGGCGCAUCUCCAAGCUCGCGCCCCCUACCAGUUGGUGCUGACCUCCGGCCAUCCCAGGGCGACAGUGAUACAAAUAUUUCCACAGGCCAAAAUGCGACAGAACGCCAAGAAAAGCCUCACAUAAAUGAACAAAAAUAGAGAUUUGCAGAAUGGAAUUGGGGUUUAGAUGAGUCAAAUUCAGGUGAUAGAAAUCAAGGAGACCGCGGAAAAAGGGAGAAAUAGGAAGAGCAAGACCGCGGAGGAGGAAUGGAACAUAAACAACAGAUUCAUGAGUGUCUUCUGUUGGAACAGUGACCCCACAGCAGAUCCUCCAGGAACAGAGUUCUUUCGGAGGAAGAACUCCGAUGGACACAAGAUGGAGAAGGUCAGACUCAGAAACAACAGACAUAUGGUUACCUGCGAAAGGCAACUGACUGUUGGGGUCGAUGGGGGGAAUGACAGCAGCGGACGAACUCGAAGCUUUCCGCUUAGGCGCCAUCUCAACCUCGCCGGCGAGGAGAGCAGAAGCAGAAUUGCAAAUCGGCAGAGAGGAUCUGGAAGCAGGAAAGCAAGAACUAGGGCACAGAAUGUGGAGACGCGGAACAGUGCAGUACAUAUAGGGUUUUCCCGGGCCAGAUGCCGUUUCCAAAAGGUGCCCAGUCAUCACCCAGCGGUUAUUUCUAAAACCGCUGGCGUGCCACGUCAUCACUCAGCUGCUAUUUCUAAAAAAGCCGGCGUGCCAUGUCAUCACUCGGCCGUUGUUUCCAAAACGACCGACACAGCCCAAAUUGACUCAGCCGUGGUUUCUAAAAACGUUGACAAUACCUGACUUCACUCGGUUGUUACCUCUAAAACACCGACGUCGCCGUCAGUCACUCGGUCGUUACUUCUAAAACACCGACGUUGCCAUCAGUCACUCGGCCGUUGCCUCUAAAACGCCGAUGCUGCCGUCAGUCACUCGGCCGUUACUUCUAAAACGCCGACGUUGCCAUCAGUCACUCGGCCGUUGCCUUUAAAAUGCCGAUGCUGCCGUCAGUCGCUCGGCUGUUACCUCUAUAACGCCGACGCCACCAUCAAUCACUCGGCCGUUGCCUCUACAACGCUGGUAUCAACAGUAACCACUCGACCGUUAAUUCUAAAAACACCAACGUGGCCCCGCCAUCAUUCGGAUGCUAGUUCAGAAGCGCUAAUGUCGUCGAUAAUAACUCAGCCCCUGUUUCUAAGACACCAUCAUCGCAGGAAGCAAAGAAAUUAACACAGGGAGAGACUAUAUCAUUCUUCAUGAAAGGGAAGUUACAGAACUUACAAAUCAACUCGUUAUGAGUUGAUACUUCCCUACUACUACUACUACAUUACAUUACACUAUUCUAUACUACUACUACUACGUUAUUUCACUAAUACUAUUUCUACUACUAAUCUAUACUAAUAUCUAAAAACUAGUGGCAUUUAGCCACUGGCCUAGUUGCUGCCCCUGCUGCUGCCCUUGCCGCCCUCGCCGCUGCCGUCGCCGCUGUCGCCGUCGCCUCCGUCGUCGUCGCUGUCUCCGCCAUCGCCGCCGCUGCCCUCCUCGGACGAGUCCGAGGAGCCCUCCUCGUCCGAGGAGUACUCCGACUCAUUCGAGCCCUCGAGCCCGGCGCGCUCGACGGUCCGGAUGUAGGUCCAGACCUCCGCGGCAAUCCCCUGGGAGUCGUCUGAAUCAUCAGACGACGUCGGGGGAGAGGCGGGGGCUGGAGACCCCUCGGACUCGGAGGAGAACUCCUCCUCCGAGUACUCCGAGUUGUCGAAGUCCUCCGAGGGAGGAGUCGGCUCACGCUUAUCACCGGAGCGAGGCGAGGAACUGCUACCCUUCUUACUCUUGCCCAUGGUGGAAAGGAAGGAGGAAGAAGAGAGCAAGCAGCAGAGAGCAGUAAGAGAUGUGAAAAUGCCGGGGAAGCAAGAACACUAUUUAUAGAAGAAGGAGGCAACCACUCACCUCCUACCACGGCUACUGAACAGUCGCAAAAAUUCAAUAUGCAAUUCAAACCGUCUAAAGACACGUCAGGCGGCUGACGCCGUUUCACGCAACACAACACCCAUUGGGACUCCAGUCAACUGCGCGGGCGAUAUGAUUACACCCGCGGUCACAUCAAGUUACUACUCAGAGACAGUUUGCUAAAACACUUAGUGUACCAAGCCGUCCCUUGCCUACACCCAUUGGGGGGGACGCCCAGGAAAUACCAGUAUAUUUUUCAAAACUGUCACAUCCGUGCAGCGCGUGCAAUGAAUACUUCAAGACAAAAGUGAGAUAUCAAUAAUGAUCAAAGGAAAGCCAAAUAUAGCCAACAAGGUACAAGUCUAAUCGACAGAAGCAUUGAAGCAAGAAGUGAUAACAAAGACUAGCCAAGGGUUACCUGUCGAAUGUCCAAUCAGUCACAGAUCAAAUAAAUAGCACCGCCUAGCAAGAUAUGAGCAGAUCACGAACUCGGCCUCAAAGACAAAAUAUACGCCGAUCUCUAAAGCAUAAUAUCAAUAACAUAGUGCUGACCUCCAAGGCAUCUAGCAAAAAGGGAAGAAGAUCACUGGAAAAAGGCAUAAAAUGAAGAUCUUCGAGUGAAUUAUUUCCAAAAAUCCACUUGAAGCUCGGGGGCUACACCCAUUGGGUGCACCUUCGGCGCACCCAAUGAAUCAUUAUCUCGGAUCAAGACAAUGCUGACUUCUAAAGCAUAGGGUAAGAUUAAUGCAAGGUUAACCUCCGACAAAAUACCAGUGGAAGAUGAAGGUGACUUCUGAUAAUACUCAAAGUGAAGACCUUCGAGUGGAUUAUUUUCAAAAAUCCACUCGAAGCUCGGGGGCUACACCCAUUGGGUGCACCUUUGAUCUCGAAGUCCUGCAGUACGAAAUGCUGACCUCCGAAGCAAAAGUCUGAGACAGAACAUCAAUUUUCAAGUGAUAAAAGGAGAAGGAGACAGUAAGAAAUCGUUUUUACCAGAUUACCCAGAAAGUACUUCCUGUUACAAACAAAGACCGCAAGCUGGACUUAGUAUCUCUGGGCCGAUUAUUUCAAAAUCAACCUAAAGAUCGGGGGCUUGUGGGGGACAGAUGUCCCCCGGGUCCACUGGAAGGAUAAAAGACCUCACGAAAGGCCCAAGGGUCCAAUAAGUCGUAAGGUCAUCCUUUCGUGGGCCUAGGGGAGGAACAACCAGUGAAGCAGAUCGACAUAAGGUUGGAUCGGAGCAAGCUCAGACGGCCCAAUGAUCUCGAGCGAGUAAUCACAACAGAGACCCGAUCUUCCCGCGCUGGAGGCCCGUACAACGAGCCGAGCGAAGAUGGGUCGGCAGAACUAUAGGAAGAUAGACUCAAUCGGUUUACUAUCUCUUAGGUGCACGUAAUUAUCAUAUCUGCAUGUAUUACCCCACGGUCGAGUAUAUAAGGCCUAGGAGGCACCCCUUCAGAAGGAAUCGAACCCACUACUUAGCCAUCCACCCCAGUUUCCUACAUAUUAGAGAAUCACCUUGUAACCCAUCAUAUACAACACUCUCGCCAGGACGUAGGGUGUUACGCACUCCAAAGCGGCCCGAACCUGUAAAUCAUUGUCUACCGUCUCUCGUGCUACUAGCACGAACCAUUGAGCUACAGUUGACAACACCGUCCUACUUCAAAAAACACCUUGAGGGGCAACCCCGGGUGUGCGGUCGGACCCAAAACACCGACAGGCUCCGAGUCACCACGAGCUAGAGAAUACAACGGAGGUAUCACACUUACAUGAUGAAGAACAUAGUAGUUUACGAGCAAACCGCUAAAGGUUAACCAAUUGUGCUUACAUGAAGAAGAAUUGCUAGUUUUCGGGUAAACUAGCAAAAAUAACCAUCAGAAGUUCGUCUGGCAAGCCUAGAGCGCCAUCUUGGAUCAAGCGAUAAAUGGCACCCCUUUCGUCCCAAAUUAGUAUUCGUUUUAACUCUUGGUUUUUAUGUCUAUAUUUAAUUGGAUUAUGAUGAAUCUAGACACACACAUAUAUAUAUAACAUACACACCAAUUAUUGUAUGAAUCCAUUAAAAAGCCAAAACGAAAUUUUAAUUUUGGACAGAGAGAGUAAUAUGGAGGUUAAAAGAGAGAUAGUAGAUUGGUUUUUUACUCGAUUAGAUGUUCAAUAGCUCAAUCGACCAUGAUCCUCUUAUAUAUAUUGAGAGAGAAUGGCCCUGUGUCCUAGUAGGAAAUAACUUUAAAAAUAUGUUUGGCAAGAUUCUAAUUCUAAAAACCAUUUAAAAAAAACCAAGCAAAAGUCAGCCAACCACCAAAGUUAAUUAGACUAGGUUUUGUGGAGACCAGACACUAAAAUCGGCACGACAACAAAAAGUUGGGGUCUGGUUAUCUGGAUCUGACCUAGCUAGGUUUAGCGAAGUGUCUGAUCACAACAAUAAAAUAUAAAAUUUUCGUGGGCCAAAGCCGUUGGAAAUAAACCUUGUCGGGUGGGCGCCGGCAGGGGCGGGUCGGGGCCGGCGUGGUCUCUGGCUUCGACGACGCGUGGUAUGUGAAACGACGAGCUCGUGCGAAAUGAAACGGCGCGCUCAGACGUCGUAGAAUUAAAAUCUUCAGUCGUUAGAUAUAAGGUUAUGUCCGGUGGCUUGUCUAACAGCCGUCGGAUAUAAAGUUGUCUCCGAUGGUUUGGUUGACUGACGUCGGACGUAUGCUCUUAUAUCCUAUGGCUGUAGGAAGUCAUCGGAGAUAUCGUGGUCGUCGGAGAUUUAUCAUUUUACUGGGAUGGAUGGCGACGGUGAAAACUGCGCGCCUGGACUCUGUAGUUCUCGCCAUGGUUAGCGAGCUACUCCUACCUCGUCCUCACAGAUCGGCCCGGCCCCGGUGCGCCGUAUUAAUUAUUGCAACCGUUUGACCUCGCAAUUAGCCAGGAAUGCUAUGAUUAUUCCCACGCGCAACAGUAACCAGCAGUACGAACAACGAAGAAAAUGCGCUAGAGAGAUGCCAUCUCAGUCGUCUCCUUAUCCGUAAUGAUUGGCUAAGCAGAUAGUAAUCCCGCGGUCUGCCUGGUGCCCUUUUGCUCGCGGCACGUCGUGCAAUGCAACGGCCGGCCGCAGCGCAUCCCGCGUUUUCGUGGCCGAAACCUCCCAUCUGCCUGCCUAGCUUGUGCCGUCUCUGACAUGUACACCAUCCAUAUCACGUUUUCGUCCCGGCGUUUUUGGGUAAUGGCCGACUUGUAGAACGAGCGGAAAUCCGCGACGAUCCAAAUGAUCCAUGGCAGGCGUGGAACACGGUGCCUUUUGCUAUCCUCGUUUUUGCGAAACAUGUUGUCAACGUGAAAAUCUGUUUCAUGGCGGCCGCCGGCCGAGGGUAGGAUUUCAUGCUACUCUAGUAUAGUCGGGCUACCAACGAUUCGUUCUUACUAGUUGGCUAUGCAUCAACAUGCAGAUACGGUAGGUAGAGACGAGUCAAGGUGAAAACUUGAGGGCACUAGUACGUGCCAUCUUCUUCCUUCUUUUUUCGAACGGACGGCAAAAGCCAGCACUAGUAGCUAGUGCCAUCUUCCCUCUCUGCAACUGUAGCCCGCACCAAGUGGCGAUCAGCAGGUCGACGCACACAGUGUCCUGCCACGCGUAGUGCGCUGCUGCGUUAUGAGGUGGAUCGAGAGAGAGAGAGAGAGAGAGCUGACUCAGUGUGAGGCAGCAGAACCCGAUCCAGCAAGCUGCCAAUGGAUGGCCCCGCCACGCCACACCCCACUCCAGACUCCGGGUCCAGAGGCAGAAGAACCCGAUCGAGCAGUUCCGGUUCGGGGCCCCGAUGCACAAAGGCAACGAUCUUUUCCAGGGAAUAGCCGCGCGGGGCCGGGUGGGAAGAGAGAAUUCCGCCCUCUUUUUUUUUUCCCUUUCUUUGAUUGAUCACCCACCAUGCAGCCAUGCACGAUCAUAAUCACCGACGGGGAGGAGCCCACCGGCCGGCGAGGCGGCGACGGCCGUACGUCCAGUCCAUUGGCUCAUUCAUCCACCGGAUCAUGCCGCCGCGGCGCCGCUCCCUUUUCAAGAUCUGGUCCUAGUUUUCCGGCCAGAACGCUACAGAACCAGCGAUCCGCCGCGGGGAGCUGUUUUGGCCUAUUGAACGGCCGGUUCCUCUUCCUUGUUUGUUUGAGACCCUGUUGUGCUCACAAUCCACCAUGCAUGCAUCAGUGGUUGCGCGCUAAGAAACGCGUGUUCUUUUUUUUUCCCAUUGUUUCUUAUUUGUUGAGGAGACGACUGAAUAUUUUGUGCACCACACGCAUUUUUUUAGUACCUGUUAUGUACCCACUCCAUGCAAGUCUCUGGAUGUCUAGUUCAGCCGUUUCAAAUUUAAGAUAACUACCCCAUAGCCAAUCCGAGCCAGAUUAUACAACGUCUUAACUUUUUUUUGUUAUAUAUCUAGAUACAUGUUAUGCCUAGAUGUAUAGCAAAAGCAAUGAAAAACCAAACCAUCUUUAUAAUUUAGAAUGUAAAUACUAGAUAGUAUAUGUAUUUAUCACUGCUGAAAACUGUAGUUCUUAUGUUAGUGCAAAACCGAUAGGGAAGAAAUGCAAAACUAAAAUUUAUGGUUUAUGUUUAGAACCAUAUAUAUCACGCGCGCGCUCACACAUAUAUAUACGAUUUCCCAUAGCUAUUAAUAUAAUGCAUUUCAUAUUAGAAUAUUAAAAUAUAUUAAUACCCCCUUACAUAUAAGGCUAUAUAAUUUUAUUUUUCUUUACAUAAGUUAACUUAUUUUAAUCAAGGUGUUUGAUAUAUCUGUAUUUAUAAUAGAAUUAUAAGAGCUUUAUUAUUCAUAAAAAUAUACAUCACUACACACAUAAUUCAUUGAUAAUUGGGGGGAGGUUAGUAUAGACCAAAGGUGGCUAUAUAUACCUUGGUGGUAUUUGAGAUUGAGUAAGCGAUUAUAUAGUUUAAAUAUUAAUAUUCUCGUUAUCCUAUUCUAGAUCUCACUUCAAACUCUAGCAUUGACCUUGAGGGACAUAAUCUAGGUUUAAGCAACCAUGCACGUAGUCUACAUUAUUACAUGAUUUUUUCCAUAGACGAACAAUUUAGGUUAACAAAAGCGGCCAAAUCGUCCACCUCUGUCAAAAGUCAUGCAUUAAUGUAGCUUUAGGCGGUGUUUGAGUGCACUAAAACUAAUAGUUAUCUGCUAAAAUUAGUCGAGACAUCCAAACAAUCUAACUAAUAUAUCAUCUAUUAGCAACCUAAUUCCACUAGCAAUUUUAACCAACUAACUAUUAUCUCUAGUGCAUUCAAACAUCCUUUAAAGAGAUAGACAAAGUGUGCUUUGCAUGGCUCUGGUAACCGCAUUAAUGGCAAAACUCCUUCAUUAAUACUUUUUAACAAAAAAUAAGAAAAUACAGCUACAAAGAAUUGAACUUGUAACCUUUUACUUCACCAUAACACAUCUCUACCACAAAACCACAUGCUCAUUUCUAAUUAUAUACUGCUGGGACGAAGGUGGAAUCUGCGAUCGUUACCAAUACUGACUCGUUUGUGUAUGCAUGGCACCAACACAAUGCAGGAAAGAAGACCGUGCGGACCAUGCGAAGGCCCCCUUCACACUGUGUGGAGGGUUCGUAGGAGGUAGGACUAAGUCGGGCUCCACGGGUGACGGGGGCUCGGUGCGUCGGUCUUUGCCGGCGACCCUGAGUCGAAGGACCCAAAGCCCCUAAGACUCCGCUCCUCUCCAUCCUCGCUCUUGGGCGACUAAUCCAAACCAAGAUGGAGGAUCAGGCAAAUCAAAGGGCAACCACUCCUCAUCGACGUCGAGUUAGAGGACGAGGAGACACCGAAGACUUCGGGAUGAUGGCCUCUAGGACCCGGAGUCAGUGGACUGUGCGGUUGUUGAAAACCUGAUGGGCCCUCCAAACAAGCAAAGUGGACCCGCCUGAUAGUCGCCUAGAGGGGGUGAAUAGGGCGAAACUGAAAUUUACAAAUAUAAACACAACUACAAGCCGGGUUAGCGUUAGAAAAAACGAGUCCGCGAGAGAGGGCGCAAAACAAAUCGCAAGCAAAUGAAGAGUGUGACACGCGGAUUUGUUUUACCGAGGUUCGGUUCUCGCAAACCUACUCCCCGUUGAGGAGGCCACAAAGGCCGGGUCUCUUUCAACCCUUCCCUCUCUCAAACGGUCACUUAGACCGAGUGAGCUUCUCUUCUCAAAUCAAAGCCAGGAACAAAACUUCCCCGCAAGGGCCACCACACAAUUGGUGCCUCUUGCCUUGAUUACAAUGGAGUUUUGAUCACAAGAACAAGUGAGAAAGAAAAGAAGCAAUCCAAGCGCAAGAGCUCAAAAGAACACGGCAAAUCUCUCUCGCUAAUCACUAAGGACUUGUGUGGAGUUGGAGAGGAUUUGAUCUCUUUGGUGUGUCUAGAAUUGAAUGCCUAGCUCUUGUAAGUGGUUCAGAAGUGGAAAACUUGGAUGCAAUGAAUGGUGGGGUGGUUGGGGUAUUUAUAGCCCCAACCACCAAAAGUGGCCGUUGGGAGGCUGUCUGUUCGAUGGCGCACCGGACAGUCCGGUGCACACCGGACAUGUCCGGUGCCCCUGCCACGUCAUCACUGCCGUUGGAUUCUGACCGUUGAAGCUUCUGACUUGUGGGCCCGCCUGGAUGUCCGGUGCCCACCGGACAUGCACUGUUCCUUGUCCGGUGCGCCAGUAUGGGCACGCCUGACUUCUGUGCGCGCUGCGCGCGCAUUAAUUGCGUCGCAGGUAGCCGUUGGCGCCGAAUAGCCGUUGCUCCGGAGUUGCACCGGACAGUCUGGUGCACACCGGACAUGUCCGGUGAAUUAUAGCGGACUAGCCGUUGGAGUUUUCCGAAGCUGGCGAGUUCCUGAGGCCGACCUCCCUUGGAGCACCGGACACUGUCCGGUGUACACCGGACAGUCCGAUGAAUUAUAGUGGAGUCGCCUCUGGAAAUUCCCGAAGGUGGCGAGUUUGAGUUGGAGUCCUCUGGUGCACCGGACACUGUCCGGUGGCACACCGGACAGUCCGGUGCGCCAGACCAGAGGUGCCUUCGGUUGGCCCUUUGCUCCUUGGUUGAAUCCAAAAUUGGUCUUUUGAUUGGCUUGUUGUGAACCUUUGACACCUGUAUAACUUAUUCACUAGAGCAAACUAGUUAGUCCAAAGAUUUGUGUUGGGCAAUUCAACCACCAAAAUUAUAUAGGAACUAGGUGUAAGCCUAAUUCCCUUUCAAUCUCCCCCUUUUUGGUGAUUGAUGCCAACACAAACCAAAGCAAAUAUAGAAGUGCAUAAUUACACUAGUUUGCAUAAUAUAAGUGUAAAGGUUGCUUGGAAUUGAGCCAAUAUAAAUACUUACAAGAUAUGCAUGGAUCGUUUCUUUCUUAUUUAACAUUUUGGACCACGCUUGCACCACAUGUUUUGUUUUUGCAAACUCUUUUGUAAAUCCUUUUCAAAGUUCUUUUGCAAAUAGUCAAAGGCAAAUGAAUAAUAUUUUGUAAAGCAUUUUUAAGAUUUGAAAUUUUCUCUCCCUGUUUCAAAUGCUUUUCCUUUGACUAAACAAAACUCCCCCUAAAUGAUAUCCUCCUCUUAGUGUUCAAGAGGGUUUUGAUAUACCAUUUUUGAAAUACUACUUUCUCCCUCUUUUGAACACAAUAGGAUACAAUUGAUAAAAUUCUUUGAAAACACGAAGUUUUUGUUUUUUUUUUGAAAAAAGUGGUGGUGUGGUCCUUUUGCUUUGGGCUCUUACUUUCUCCCCCUUUGGCAUGAAUCGCCAAAAACGGAAUCAUUAGAGCCCUCGAAGUGCUUUCUUCCCCUUUGGUCAUAAAUAAAUGAGUUAAGGUUAUACCAAAGACGAAGUCCUUUUGCGUGACAUGGAGCGACGGCGAAGGAUGAGUUACGGAGUGGAAGCCUUUGUCUUCGCCGAAGACUCCAAUUCCCUUUCAAUAUACCUAUGACUAGGUUUGAGAUAGACUUGAAAACACAUUAGUCAUAGCAUAUAAAAGAGAUAUGAUCAAAGGUAUAUAAAUGAGCUAUGUGUGCAAUCUAGCAAAAGAAGUUGCGUGAAUCAAGAAUAUUGAGCUCAUGCCUAAGUUUGGUAAAAGUUUGUUCAUCAAGAGGCUUGGUAAAGAUAUCGGCUAAUUGAUCUUUAGUGUUAAUGUAUGAAAUCUCGAUAUCUCCCUUUUGUUGGUGAUCCCUAAGAAAAUGAUACCGGAUGGCUAUGUGCUUAGUGCGGCUAUGCUCGACGGGAUUGUCGGCCAUUUUGAUUGCACUCUCAUUAUCACAUAGCAAAGGGACUUUGGUUAGUUUGUAACCGUAGUCCCGCAGGGUUUGCCUCAUCCAAAGCAAUUGCGCGCAACAAUGGCCUGCGGCAAUAUACUCGGCUUCGGCGGUGGAAAGAGCGACCGAAUUUUGCUUCUUUGAAGCCCAAGACACCAAGGAUCUUCCCAAGAACUGGCAAGUCCCCGAUGUGCUCUUCCUAUUGAUUUUGCACCCUGCCCAAUCGGCAUCCGAAUAACCAAUCAAAUCAAAUGUGGAUCCCCGAGGGUACCAAAGCCCAAACUUAGGAGUAUAAGCCAAAUAUCUCAAGAUUCGUUUUACGGCCGUAAGGUGGGAUUCCUUAGGGUCGGAUUGGAAUCUUGCACACAUGCAAACGGAAAGCAUAAUGUCCGGUCGAGAUGCACAUAAAUAGAGUAAUGAACCUAUCAUCGACCGGUAUACCUUUUGAUCCACGGACUUACCUCCCGUGUCGAGGUCGAGAUGCCCAUUAGUUCCCAUGGGUGUCUUGAUGGGCUUGGCAUCCUUCAUUCCAAACUUGCUUAGAAUAUCUUGAGUGUACUUGGUUUGGCUUAGGAAGGUGCCCUCUUGGAGUUGCUUCACUUGAAAUCCUAAGAAAUACUUCAACUCCCCCAUCAUAGACAUCUCGAACUUUUGUGUCAUGAUCCUACUAAACUCUUCACAUGUAGAUUCGUUAGUAGACCCGAAUAUAAUAUCAUCAACAUAAAUUUGGCAUACAAACAAAUCAUUUUCAAGUGUUUUGGUGAAGAGCGUAGGAUCGGCCUUUCCGUCUUUGAAUCCAUUUGCAAUAAGAAAAUCUCUAAGGUAUUCAUACCAUGCUCUUGGGGCUUACUUGAGCCCAUAAAGCGCCUUAGAGAGCUUAUAGACAUGGUUAGGAUACUCACUGUCUUCAAAGCCGGGAGGUUGCUCAACAUAGACCUCUUCCUUGAUUGGUCCGUUGAGGAAGGCACUUUUCACCUCCAUUUGAUAAAGCUUAAAGCCAUGGUAAGUAGCAUAGGCCAAUAAAAUGCGAAUUGACUCAAGCCUAGCUACGAGUGCAUAGGUUUCACCGAAAUCCAAACCUUCGACUUGGGAGUAGCCUUUGGCCACAAGUCUAGCUUUGUUCCUUGUCACCACUCCAUGCUCAUCUUGCUUGUUGCGGAAGACCCAUUUGGUUCCUACAACAUUUUGGUUAGGACGUGGAACUAAAUGCCAUACCUCAUUCCUAGUGAAGUUGUUGAGCUCCUCUUGCAUCGCCACCACCCAAUCCGAAUCUUGGAGUGCUUCCUCUACCCUGUGUGGCUCAAUAGAGGAAACAAAAGAGUAAUGUUCACAAAAAUGGGCAACACGAGAUCUAGUAGUUACCCCCUUAUGAAUGUCGCCGAGGAUGGUGUCGAUGGGGUGAUCUCGUUGGAUUGCUUGGUGGACUCUUGGGUGUGGCGGUCUUUGCUCUUCAUCCUCCUUGUCCUGAUCAUUUGCAUCUCCCCCUUGAUCUAUGUCGUCAUCUUGAGGUGGCUCAUUUGAUUGAUCUUCUUCUUCAUCAACUUGAGCUUCUUCCUCAUUUUGAGGUUGUGGAGAUGCUUGCAUGGAGGAAGACGGUUGAUCUUGUGCUUUUGGAGGCUCUUCAGAUUCCUUAGGACACACAUCCCCAAUGGACAUGUUCCUUAGAGCGAUGCACGAAGCCUGUUCUUCACCUAUCUCAUCAAGAUCAACUUGCUCUACUUGAGAGCCGUUAGUUUCAUCAAACACAACGUCACAUGAGACUUCAACUAGUCCAGUGGACUUGUUAAAGACCCUAUAUGCCCUUGUGUUUGAGUCAUAACCAAGUAAAAAGCCUUCUACAGUCUUAGGAGCAAAUUUAGAUUUUCUACCUCUUUUAACAAGAAUAAAACAUUUGCUACCAAAGACUCUAAAGUAUGAAAUGUUGGGCUUUUUACCGGUAAGGAGUUCAUAUGAUGUCUUCUUGAGGAUUCGGUGAAGAUACAACCGGUUGAUGGCGUAGCAAGCGGUGUUGACCGCCUCGGCCCAAAACCGAUCCGAAGUCUUGUACUCAUCAAGCAUGGUUCUUGCCAUGUCCAGUAGAGUUCGAUUCUUUCUCUCCACUACACCAUUUUGUUGUGGAGUGUAGGGAGAAGAGAACUCAUGCUUGAUGCCCUCCUCCUCAAGGAAGCCUUCAAUUUGAGAAUUCUUGAACUCCGUCCCGUUGUCGCUUCUAAUUUUCUUGAUUCUUAAUCCGAACUCAUUUUGAGCCCGUCUCAAGAAUCCCUUUAAGGUUUCUUGGGUUUGAGAUUUUUCCUGCAAAAAGAAUACCCAAGUGAAGCGAGAAUAAUCAUCCACAAUAACUAGACAGUACUUACUCCCGCCGAUGCUUAUGUAAGCAAUCAGGCCGAAUAGAUCCAUGUGUAGGAGCUCCAGUGGCCUGUCGGUCGUCAUUAUGUUCUUAUGCGGAUGAUGGGCUCCAACUUGCUUUCCUGCUUGGCAUGCGCUACAAAUCCUGUCUUUCUCAAAAUGAACAUUUGUUAGUCCUAAAAUGUGUUCCCCCUUUAGAAGCUUGUGAAGAUUCUUCAUCCCAACAUGGGCCAGUCGGCGGUGCCAGAGCCAACCCAUGUUAGUCUUAGCAAUUAAGCAUGUGUCGAGUUCAGCUCUAUCAAAAUCUACUAAGUAUAGCUGACCCUCUAACACACCCUUAAAUGUUAUUGAAUCAUCACUUCUUCUAAAGACAGUGACACCUACAUCAGUGAAAAGACAGUUGUAGCCCAUUUGACAUAAUUGUGAAACGGAAAGCAAAUUGUAAUCUAAAGAAUCUACAAGAAAAACAUUGGAAAUAGUAUGGUCAGGUGAUAUAGCAAUUUUACCCAAACCUUUGACCAAACCUUGAUUUCCAUCCCCGAAUGUGAUAGCUCGUUGGGGAUCUUGGUUUUUCUCAUAUGAGGAGAACAUCUUUUUCUCCCCUGUCAUGUGGUUUGUGCACCCGCUGUCGAGUAUCCAACUUGAGCCCCCGGAUGCAUAAACCUACAAAACAAGUUUAGUUCUUGACUUUAGGUACCCAAAUGGUUUUGGGUCCUUUGGCAUUAGACACAAGAACUUUGGGUACCCAAACACAAGUCUUGGAGCCCUUGUGCUUGCCCCCAACAUAUUUGGCAACUAUCUUGCCGGAUUUGUUAGUCAACACAUAAGAUGCAUCAAAAGUUUUAAAUGAAAUGUCAUGAUCAUUUGAUGCACUAGGAGUUUUUUUUCUAGGCAACUUAGCACGGGUUGGUUGCCUAGAGCUAGAUGUCUCACCCUUAUACAUGAAAGCAUGAUUAGGGCCAGAGUGAGACUUCCUAGAAUGAAUUCUCCUAAUUUUGCUCUCGGGAUAACCGGCAGGGUAUAAAAUGUAACCUUCGUUAUCCUGAGGCAUGGGAGCCUUGCCCUUAACAAAAUUUGACAAUCUUUUAGGAGGGGCACUAAGUUUGACAUUGUCUCCCCUUUGGAAGCCAAUGCCAUCCUUAAUGCCCGGGCGUCUCCCAUUAUAAAGCAUACUACGAGCAAAUUUAAAUUUUUCAUUUUCUAAGUUAUGCUCGGCAAUUUUAGCAUCUAAUUUAGCUAUAUGAUCAUUUUGUUGCUUAAUUAAAGUCAUGUGAUCAUGUAUAGCAUCAAUGUUAACAUCUCUACAUCUAGUGCAAAUAGAAGUGUGCUCAACGGUAGAUGUAGAGGGUUUGCAAGAAUUAAGUUCAACAAUCUUAGCAUGUAGAAUAUCAUUUUUAUCUCUAAGAUCGGAAAUUGUAACUUUGCAAACAUCAAAAUCUUUAGCCUUAGCAAGCAAUUUUUCAUUCUCAAUUCUAAGGCUAGCAAGAGAAAUGUUCAAUUCUUCAAUCCUAGCAAGCAAAUCAUCAUUAUCAUCUCUAGGCUUGGGAAUUGAAACAUUACAAACAUGAGAAUCAACCUUAGCUAAUAAAUUAGCAUUUUCAUUUCUAAGGUUGUCUAUAGUCUCAUGGCAAGUGCUUAGCUCACUAGACAAUUUUUCACAUUUUUCUACUUCUAGAGCAUAAGCAUUUUUAACCUUAACAUGCUUCUUAUUUUCUUUAAUAAGGAAGUCCUCUUGGGUGUCCAAGAGAUCAUCCUUUUCAUGGAUGGCACUAAUCAAUUCAUUAAGUUUUUCUUUUUGUUGCAUGUUGAGGUUGGCAAAAAGAGUACGUAAAUUAUUUUCCUCAUCACUAGCAUUAUCAUCACUAGAGGAUUCAUAUUUAGUGGAGGAUUUAGAUUUAACCUUCUUUUUGCCGUCCUUUGCCAUGAGGCACUUGUGGCCGACAUUGGGGAAGAGGAGUCCCUUGGUGACGGUGAUGUUGGCGGCGUCCUCGUCGUCGGAGGAGUCGCUAGAGCUUUCGUCGGAGUCCCACUCCCGACAAACAUGGGCAUCGCCGCCCCUCUUCUUGUAGUACCACUUCUUUUCUCUCCUCUUGCCCUUCUUGUCGUCGCCCAUGUCACUAUCACUUGAUAAUGGACAUUUAGCUAUAAAGUGAUCGGGCUUACCACAUUUGUAGCAAACCUUCUUGGAGCGGGACUUGUAAUCUUUCCCUCUCCUUUGCUUGAGGAUUUGGCGGAAGCUCUUGAUGACGAGCGCCAUUUCCUCAUUGUCGAGCUUGGAGGCGUCGAUUGGUUGCCGACUUGGUGUGGACUCCUCCUUCUUUUCUUCCGUCGCCUUGAAUGCGACGGGUUGAGCUUCGGAUGUGGUGGGUUCGUCAAGCUCGUUGAUCUUCCUCGAGCCUUCGAUCAUGCACUCAAAACUUACAAAAUGCCCGAUUACUUCCUCGGGGGUCAUUAGUGUAUAUCUUGGAUUGCCACGAAUUAAUUGAACUUGAGUGGGGUUAAGGAAAAUAAGAGAUCUUAGAAUAACCUUAACCACCUCGUGGUCAUCCCACUUUUUGCUCCCGAGGUUGCGCACUUGGUUCACCAAAGUCUUGAGCCGGUUGUACAUGUGUUGUGGCUCCUCCCCUUUGCGAAGCCGGAACCGACCGAGCUCCCCCUCAAUCGUCUCCCGCUUGGUGAUCUUUGUGAGCUCAUCUCCUUCGUGAGCGGUUUUGAGCACAUCCCAAACUUCCUUGGCGCUCUUCAACCCUUGCACUUUGUUAUACUCCUCUCGACUUAGAGAGGCGAGGAGUAUUGUUGUCGCUUGAGAGUUGAAGUGCUCGAUUUGGGCCACCUCAUCCUCAUCAUAGUCUUUAUCCCCUACGGAUGGUACCUGUGCGCCAAACUCAACAACAUCCCAUAUACUUUUGUGGAGUGAGGUUAGAUGAAAUCGCAUUAAAUCACUCCACCUAGCAUAAUCUUCACCAUCAAAAGUUGGUGGUUUGCCUAAUGGGACGGAAAGUAAAGGUGCAUGUUUAGAAAUGCGAGGGUAGUGUAGGGGAAUCUUACUAUACUUCUUGCGCUCUUGGCGCUUAGAAGUAACGGAUGCCGCGUCGGAGCCGGAGGUGGAUGUUGAUGAAGUGUCGGUCUCGUAGUAGACCACUUUCCUCAUCCUCUUGUGCUUGUCCCCACUCCGAUGCGGCUUGUGAGAAGAAGAUUUCUCCUUCUUCUCUUUGUGGUGAGAAGAAGAUCUCUUCUCCUUCCCUUUGUUGGAGGAGCUCUUCUUCUUCUCCUUCCUCUUGGUGCGGGACUCUUUCGAUGAAGUGCUCCUGUGGCUUGUAGUGGGCUUUUCGCCGGUCUCCAUCUCCUUCUUGGCGUGAUCUCCCGACAUCACUUCGAGCGGUUAGGCUCUAAUGAAGCACCGGGUUCUGAUACCAAUUGAUAGUCGCCUAGAGGGGGGGUGAAUAGGGCGAAACUGAAAUUUACAAAUAUAAACACAACUACAAGCCGGGUUAGCGUUAGAAAAAACGAGUCCGCGAGAGAGGGCGCAAAACAAAUCGCAAGCAAAUGAAGAGUGUGACACGCGGAUUUGUUUUACCGAGGUUCGGUUCUCGCAAACCUACUCCCCGUUGAGGAGGCCACAAAGGCCGGGUCUCUUUCAACCCUUCCCUCUCUCAAACGGUCACUUAGACCGAGUGAGCUUCUCUUCUCAAAUCAAAGCCAGGAACAAAACUUCCCCGCAAGGGCCACCACACAAUUGGUGCCUCUUGCCUUGAUUACAAUGGAGUUUUGAUCACAAGAACAAGUGAGAAAGAAAAGAAGCAAUCCAAGCGCAAGAGCUCAAAAGAACACGGCAAAUCUCUCUCGCUAAUCACUAAGGACUUGUGUGGAGUUGGAGAGGAUUUGAUCUCUUUGGUGUGUCUAGAAUUGAAUGCCUAGCUCUUGUAAGUGGUUGAGAAGUGGAAAACUUGGAUGCAAUGAAUGGUGGGGUGGUUGGGGUAUUUAUAGCCCCAACCACCAAAAGUGGCCGUUGGGAGACUGUCUGUUCGAUGGCGCACCGGACAGUCCGGUGCACACCGGACAUGUCCGGUGCCCCUGCCACGUCAUCACUGCCGUUGGAUUCUGACCGUUGAAGCUUCUGACUUGUGGGCCCGCCUGGAUGUCCGGUGCCCACCGGACAUGCACUGUUCCUUGUCCGGUGCGCCAGUAUGGGCACGCCUGACUUCUGUGCACGCUGCGCGCGCAUUAAUUGCGUCGCAGGUAGCCGUUGCUCCGGAGUUGCACCGGACAGUCCGGUGCACACCGGACAUGUCCGGUGAAUUAUAGCGGACUAGUCGUUGGAGUUUUCCGAAGCUGGCGAGUUCCUGAGGCCGACCUCCCUUGGAGCACCGGACACUGUCCGGUGUACACCGGACAGUCCGGUGAAUUAUAGUGGAGUCGCCUAUGGAAAUUCCCGAAGGUGGCGAGUUUGAGUUGGAGUCCUCUGGUGCACCGGACAUGUCCGGUGGUGCACCGGACACUGUCCGGUGGCACACCGGACAGUCCGGUGCGCCAGACCAGAGGUGCCUUCGGUUGGCCCUUUGCUCCUUGGUUGAAUCCAAAAUUGGUCUUUUGAUUGGCUUGUUGUGAACCUUUGACACCUGUAUAACUUAUUCACUAGAGCAAACUAGUUAGUCCAAAGAUUUGUGUUGGGCAAUUCAACCACCAAAAUUAUAUAGGAACUAGGUGUAAGCCUAAUUCCCUUUCACCGCCUAUCAACCUCCACGAUGGGUACAAUGUUCGUUGUAACUAGAUCUAGGUUGCCACUGUUUCCGUAACUACCCCAUUGUACAAUAUAUUCUAGGAAUGCAGUAGAUAACCAGGGGCACACACAUAUUUUUGGCCCCACCUUUAGUUACCCCAUAAAUACCCCUAUCCGACCUAUGGACGGGACACGCUUGACAAGACAUUCGAAUAAUCCAGCUUCCCAUUUUGUCGUGCACUAUAGCUCUCACCUGGUCCCAAGUGCUUGGGCUCACAUGUCAGGACCCAACAUUUGGUAUCGAUCCAUCGUGCUCGCUAUGAAUUAACUAAUCCACGAUGGGUCCCAAAAAGAACACCCCGAUCUAACUCCAUCAUAGCUGAGUUGACGAAGGCAGCCUCCACCGACGAUUCUAAGAGGCCCAUGGUCACCUUUUCCACCCAAGACCAAGGCACACAAGCAAAGACUAAACCAUCAACAGAAAGAAACCUCCCACCUCACCACAAGGAACAUGUGAGAGCACCUAGAGGGGGGGUGAAUAGGUGAUCCUGUGAAACUUAAACUUAUAGCCACAAAAACUUGUUAAGUGUUAGCACAAUAAUCGCCAAGUGGCUAGAGAGGAGUCUCAACAAAACACAAUACCACAAGAGAUCAAACACAGAGAUGACACAGUGAUUUAUCCCGUGGUUCGGCCAAGACCAACGCUUGCCUACUCCACGUUGUGGCGUCCCAACGGACGAGGGUUGCAAUCAACCCCUCUCAAGCGGUCCAAAGACCAACUUGAAUACCACGGUGUUUUGCUUUGCCUUUCAAUAUCCCGUUUGCGAGGAAUCUCCACAACUUGGAGCCUCUCGCCCUUACACUUGAGAUUCACAAAGAAAUACGGAGUAAGGGAGGAACUAGCAAUGCACACAAGACUCAAAAUCAGAGCAUCAGCACGCACACAAGUCGCAACAAGAGCUCGCAACACAACUCAAUGAGUUCACAACUCAACAAGAGCUCUAGAUGCUAUCACAAUGAACCAAAUGCGUGGAAUCGAUGUCUUGGUGCUUAGGAAUGUUGUAGGAAUGCUUGGUGUUCUCCUCCAUGCGCCUAGGGGUCCCUUUUAUAGCCCCAAGGCAGCUAGGAGCCGUUGAGAGCAAAUCUGGAAGGCUGAUCUUGCCUUCUGUCGACUGGUGUACCGGACAGUCCGGUGCACACCGGACACUGUCCGGUGCCCGAUUUCUUUCCUUAAACGGCGCAGCCGACCGUUGGCCGCGGAGAGCCGUUGGCGCACCGGACAUGUCCGGUGCACACCGGACAGUCCGGUGCCCCCUUCCGACCGUUGGCCCGGCCACGUGUCGCGCGCAGAUACCGCGGCCGACCGUUGGCUCGGCCGACCGUUGGCUCACCGGACAGUCCGGUGCACACCGGACAGUCCGGUGAAUUAUAGCCGUACGUCGCCGGUAAAUUCCCGAGAGCGGCCAGUUCGCCCGAGUCAGUCUGGCGCACCGGACACUGUCCGGUGCUCCAGACCGAACAGUCCGGUGCUCCAGACCGAACAGCCUUUUGGCUGUACACAGCCAACUUUUCUCUGACUCGAUUCCUCCUGUUUCAAGCACUUAGACACAAUACAUUAGUCUUCAAAACAAUGUACUAAGGCUUAGAAACAUACCUUUACUCUUGAUUUGCACUUUGUCCAUCCAUGGGUAUAGAUUCACAUUUAAGCACUUGUGUUGGCACUCAAUCACCAAAAUACUUAGAAAUGGCCCAAGGGCACAUUUCCCUUUCAAUCUCCCCCUUUUUGGUGAUUUAUGCCAACACAACAUAAAGCAACUAGAACAAGUGCAAUAUCACUUCAAAUAAAACUCAAAUUUAUUUUGAUUCAAUUUUGGCAUAUAUGGAUCAUCCUUUGCCACCACUUGGUUUGUUUUUGCAAAUCAAAACUCAAAUUUCUAUCUCUAAGUCAAACACACAUGUUGAAGCAUAAAGAGAGUCAUUCCAAAAGAGAUUGAUCAAAGAUUUCAAAAACUCCCCCUAUUUCCCAUAAUCAACACUUCUCCCCACAAGAGGCCAACUUUUGACAAAAGAGACAAUGCAAGAGUUUUGACAAAACAAAAAGCUCUAUUUUACUAUUUGCAAAAUUUCUCAAGUGGUAGCUGAUCCAUUUAUUGCUUUGGCCUUUAUUUUCUCCCCCUUUGGCAUCAAGCACCAAAACGGGAUCAAUCUUGGCCCUUUAACCCCAUUGCCUCACCAAAAUCUUCAAUUAAGAGCAAAUAGGCAAUAAGAGUUAAAAGAUGAACUUGGAAAAGUUACUCUUUUCAUCGGAGUGCAGUGGAAGUCUUGCAUGGUCCAAGUCCACCUUUUCCCUUUCAAUUCUCCUUCGAGACUAAAUCAAGCAAACUCAAGCAUAUGGUUAGUCUCAAAGGGUCAAGUUGUAACACAACUCCCCCUAAAUAUGUGCAUCACUUACACAAGGACUUGUGAGGUCCAGGGAAUGUUUGUACAACUUGAGCACCACAAUAAGCAACAAAAUGCAGAAUGAACAUGAUCAAAGGCAUAAACACAUGUAUGCUACAAUUCAAUCCAAGUUCCGCGAAUCUAAGACAUUUAGCUCACUACGCAGCCUGCAAAAGGUCUUCUCAUCUAGAGGCUUGGUAAAGAUAUCGGCUAGCUGGUUCUCGGUGCUAACAUGAAACACUUCGAUAUCUCCCUUUUGCUGGUGGUCUCUCAGAAAGUGAUGCCGGAUGUCAAUGUGCUUUGUGCGGCUGUGUUCAACAGGAUUUUCCGCCAUGCGGAUAGCACUCUCAUUGUCACAUAGGAGUGGGACUUUGCUCAGAUUGUAGCCAAAGUUCCGGAGGGUUUGCCUCAUCCAAAGUAGUUGCGCACAACACUGUCCUGCGGCAACGUACUCGGCCUCAGCGGUGGAUAGGGCAACGGAAGUUUGUUUCUUAGAGUUCCACGACACCAGGGACCUUCCUAAGAAUUGGCAUGUCCCCGAUGUACUCUUCCUAUCGACCUUACAUCCAGCAUAGUCGGAAUCUGAGUAUCCAACCAAGUCAAAGGUAGACCCCUUUGGAUACCAGAGCCCGAAGCAAGGUGUAGCAACCAAAUAUCUAAGAAUUCGCUUCACCGCCACUAAGUGACACUCCUUAGGAUCGGAUUGAAAUCUAGCACACAUGCAUACGCUAAGCAUAAUAUCCGGUCUACUAGCACAUAAAUAAAGUAAAGACCUUAUCAUUGACCGGUAUGCUUUUUGAUCAACGGACUUACCUCCUUUGUUGAGAUCGGUGUGUCCGUCAGUUCCCAUCGGAGUCUUUGCGGGCUUGGCGUCCUUCAUCCCAAACCGCUUUAGCAGAUCUUGCGUGUACUUCGUUUGGGAGAUGAAGGUGCCAUCCUUGAGUUGCUUCACUUGGAACCCAAGGAAGUAGCUCAACUCGCCCAUCAUUGACAUCUCGAAUUUCUGCGUCAUCACCCUGCUAAACUCUUCACAAGACUCUUUAUUAGUAGAGCCAAAUAUUAUGUCAUCAACAUAAAUUUGGCACACAAACAAAUCUCCAUCACAAGUCUUAGUAAAAAGAGUUGGAUCGGCUUUCCCAACCUUGAAAGCAUUAGCAAUUAAGAAAUCUCUAAGGCAUUCAUACCAUGCUCUUGGGGCUUGCUUAAGUCCAUAGAGCGCCUUAGAGAGCUUACACACGUGGUCGGGGUACCGUUCAUCCUCGAAGCCAGGGGGUUGCUCCACGUACACCUCCUCCUUUAUUGGCCCGUUGAGGAAAGUGCUCUUCACAUCCAUUUGGUACAACCUGAAAGAAUGGUGAGCGGCAUAUGCUAGCAAGAUACGAAUUGAUUCUAGCCUAGCCACAGGAGCAAAAGUCUCCUCAAAGUCCAAACCUGCGACUUGGGCAUAACCUUUUGCCACAAGUCGAGCCUUGUUCCUCGUCACCACUCCGUGCUCGUCUUGUUUGUUGCGGAACACCCACUUGGUUCCCACAACAUUUUUCUUAGGACGAGGCACCAGCGUCCAAACUUCAUUUCUCUUGAAGUUGUUGAGCUCCUCUUGCAUGGCCAACACCCAGUCCGGAUCUAGCAAGGCCUCUUCUACCCUGAAAGGCUCAAUAGAAGAGACAAAGGAGUAAUGCUCACAAAAAUUAACUAAUCGAGAUCGAGUAGUUACUCCCUUGCUAAUGUCACCCAAAAUUUGGUCGACGGAAUGAUCCCUUUGAAUCACCGCUCGAACUUGGGUUGGAGGUGCCGGUUGCGCUUCUUCCUCCAUCACGUGAUCAUCUUGUGCUCCCCCUUGAUCACACGCCUCCUUUUGAUGAACAUGUUCAUCGUCUUGAGUUGGGGGAUGCACCGUUGUUGAGGAAGAAGGUUGAUCUCGUUCAUCUUGUUCCUGUGGCCGCACUUCUCCAAUCGCCAUGGUUCGUACAGCGGCCGUCGGAACAUCUUCUUCAUCUACAUCAUCACAAUCAACAACUUGCUCUCUUGGAGAGCCAUUAGUCUCAUCAAAUACAACGUCGCUAGAGACUUCAACCAAACCCGAUGAUUUGUUGAAGACUCUAUAUGCCUUUGUAUUUGAGUCAUAACCUAGCAAAAACCCUUCUACAGCUUUGGGAGCAAAUUUAGAAUUUCUAACCUUCUUCACUAGAAUGUAGCACCUGCUCCCAAAUACACGAAAGUAAGAUACAUUGGGUUUGUUACCGGUUAGGAGCUCAUACGAAGUCUUCUUGAGGAGGCGAUGAAGAUAGACCCUAUUGAUGGCGUGGCAAGCCGUGUUCACGGCUUCCGACCAAAAAUGCUCGGGGGUCUUGAAUUCUCCAAGCAUCGUCCUUGCCAUAUCGAUUAGCGUCCUGUUCUUCCUCUCUACCACACCAUUUUGCUGUGGUGUGUAGGGAGCGGAGAACUCGUGCUUGAUCCCUUCCUCCUCAAGGAACUCCUCCACUUGAAGGUUCUUGAACUCGGACCCGUUGUCGCUCCUUAUCUUCUUCACCUUGAGCUCAAACUCAUUUUGAGCUCUCCUGAGGAAGCGCUUGAGGGUCCCUUGGGUUUCAGACUUAUCCUGCAAAAAGAACACCCAAGUGAAGCGGGAAACGUCAUCAACAAUAACUAAACCAUACUUACUUCCUCCUAUGCUUAGAUAGGCGACGGGUCCGAAGAGGUCCAUAUGUAGCAGCUCCAGGGGUCUUGAUGUGGUCAUCACAUUCUUGCUGUGAUGCGCUCCUCCCACCUGUUUACCUGCCUGACAAGCUGCACAAGGUCUAUCUUUUUCGAAUUGUACGUUAGUCAAACCUAUCACGUGUUCUCCCUUUAGAAGCUUGUGAAGGUUCUUCAUCCCCACAUGUGCUAAGCGGCGAUGCCACAGCCAGCCCAUGCUAGUCUUAGCAAUUAAGCAUGCAUCUAGACCGGCCUCUUCUUUUGCAAAAUCAACUAAGUAAAGCUUGCCGUCUAAUACACCCUUAAAGGCUAGUGAACCAUCACUUCUUCUAAAGACAGACACAUCUACAUUUGUAAAAAGACAAUUAUAUCCCAUAUUGCAUAGUUGACUAACAGAUAGCAAAUUGUAACCAAGAGACUCAACUAAAAACACAUUAGAGAUAGAGUGCUCAUUAGAGAUUGCAAUUUUACCUAACCCUUUUACCUUGCCUUGAUUCCCAUCACCGAAUAUAAUUGAAUCUUGGGAAUCCUUAUUCUUGACGUAGGAGGUGAACAACUUCUUCUCCCCCGUCAUAUGGUUUGUGCAUCCGCUGUCGAUAAUCCAGCUUGAACCCCCGGAUGCAUAAACCUGCAAGGCAAAUCUAGGCUUGGGACUUAGGUACCCAACUCUUGUUGGGUCCUACAAGGUUAGUCACAAUUGUCUUAGGGACCCAAAUGCAAGUUUUAUCUCCCUUGCAUUUUGCCCCUAAUUUCCUAGCAAUCACCUUUCUAUUCUUUCUACAAAUUGCAAAGGAAGCACUCAAAGCAUGAUAUAUUGUAGAAGGUUCAUUAACUUUCCUAGGAACAUUAACAACAUUUCUCCUAGGCAUAUUAUGAACAACAUUUCUCCUACCAAUAUUUCUAUCAUGCACAUAGAAAGAACUAGACGCAAACAUGUCAUGAGAAUCAAAAUCAUCAUAAGCAUUGUAACUCCUAUAAGCAUUUCUAGUUUGUCUCUUAUCAUGGUACAUAAAAGCAUGGUUCUUUUUAGCACUACUUGCCAUAAGGGCCUUCCCUUUCUCCUUGGCGGAGAUAGGAGCCUUAUGGCUUGUUAAGUCCUUGGCUUCCUUCUUGUAGCCAAGUCCAUCCUUAAUUGAGGGGUGUCUACCAAUUGUGUAGGCAUCCCUUGCAAAUUUUAGCUUAUCAAAAUUACUCUUGCUAGUCUUAAGUUGAGCAUUAAGACUAGCCAAUUCAUCAUUAAGUUUGGAAAUUGAAACUAGGUGUUCACUACAAGCAUCAAUGUCAAAAUCUUUACACCUAUUGCAAGUUUCAACAAUUUCUACACAAGAUGUUGAUUUACUAGCUAUUUGUAACUUAGCAUUCAAAUCAUCAUUAACACUUUUUAAUUUAGAGAUGGAUUCAUGACAAGUAGAUAAUUCACUAGAGAGCAUUUCAUUCCUUUUAAUUUCUAGAGCAAGAGAAUUUUGUGCACUAACAAAUUUAUCUUGCUCCUCAUAUAAAAGAUCCUCUUGUUUUUCUAGUAAUCUAUUCUUGUCAUUCAAAGCAUCAAUCAACUCAUUAAUCUUAUUAAUUUUAGAUCUAUCUAAUCCCUUGAAUAAGCAUGAGUAAUCUAUCUCAUCAUCAUCACUAGACUCAUCCUCACUUGAAGAAGCAUAAGUACUAGUAUCAUGAGUGCUUACUUUCUUCUCCCUUGCCAUGAGGCAAGUGUGACGCUCGUUGGGGAAGAGGGAUGACUUGUUGAAGGCGGUGGCGGCGAGUCCUUCAUUGUCGGAGUCGGAGGAGGAGCAAUCCGAAUCCCACUCCUUUCCGAUAUGUGCCUCGCCCUUGGCCUUCUUGUAAUGCUUCUUCUUCUCCCUUUUGUUCCCCUUUUCCUGGUCACUUUCAUUAUCGGGACAGUUAGCAAUGAAAUGACCAAUCUUACCACAUUUGAAGCACGAGCGCUUCUCCUUUGUCUUGGUCUUGCUUGGCUGUCCCUUGCGACCUUUAAGCGCCGUCUUGAAGCGCUUAAUGAUGAGGGCCAUCUCCUCAUUAUUUAGCCCGACCGCCUCAACUUGCGCCACCUUGCUCGGUAGCGCCUCCUUGCUCCUCGUUGCCUUGAGAGCAAUGGGUUGAGGCUCAUGAAUAGGACCGUUCAACGCGUCGUCCACAUAUCUUGCCUCCUUGAUCAUCAUUCGUCCGCUUACGAACUUCCCCAGAACUUUCUUCGGGCGACAUCUUGGUGUACCUAGGAUUUUCACGAAUAUUGUUCACCAAAUGAGGAUCAAGAACGGUAAAGGACCUUAGCAUUAGGCGGACGACGUCGUGAUCCGUCCAUCGCGUGCUUCCGUAGCUCCUUAUUUUGUUGAUAAGGGUCUUGAGCCGGUUGUAUGUUUGAGUUGGCUCCUCGCCCCUUAUCAUUGCGAACCGUCCAAGCUCGCCCUCCACCAACUCCAUCUUGGUGAGCAAGGUGACAUCAUUCCCCUCAUGAGAGAUCUUGAGGGUGUCCCAGAUCUGCUUGGCAUUGUCCAUGCCGCUCACCUUAUGGUACUCGUCCCUGCACAAAGAGGCUAGCAACACAGUAGUAGCUUGUGCAUUUUUAUGAAUCUGUUCAUUAAUAAACAUGGAACUAUCCGUACUAUCAAAGUGCAUUCCACUUUCUACAAUCUCCCAUAUGCUAGGAUGGAGAGAGAACAAGUGACUACGCAUUUUGUGACUCCAAAAUCCGUAGUCCUCUCCAUCAAAGUGAGGAGGUUUACCAAGUGGAAUAGAUAAUAAAUGAGCAUUAGUACUUUGAGGAAUACGAGAGUAAUCAAAAGAAAAGUUCGAAUUGACCGGUUUCUUUCUCUCGUAUUCGUUGUGGUCGUCGUCAUUUUGGGAGGAAGUAGACUCAUCGCUGUCGUAGUAGACGAUCUCCUUGAUGCGUCUUGUCUUCUUCUUCUUCCCAUCUUUGCGUCUGUGGCCCGAGCCCGAGUCGUUGGACUUGUCAUCCCUUGGCUCGUUGACGAAGGACUCCUUCUCCUUGUCGUUGAUCACGAUUCUCUUCCCUUUAGGAUCCAUCUCUUCGGGCGGUUAGUCCCUUUGUGAAGAGAACGGCUCCGAUACCAAUUGAGAGCACCUAGAGGGGGGGGGGUGAAUAGGUGAUCCUGUGAAACUUAAACUUAUAGCCACAAAAACUUGUUAAGUGUUAGCACAAUAAUCGCCAAGUGGCUAGAGAGGAGUCUCAACAAAACACAAUACCACAAGAGAUCAAACACAGAGAUGACACAAUGAUUUAUCCCGUGGUUCGGCCAAGACCAACGCUUGCCUACUCCACGUUGUGGCGUCCCAACGGACGAGGGUUGCAAUCAACCCCUCUCAAGCGGUCCAAAGACCAACUUGAAUACCACGGUGUUUUGCUUUGCCUUUCAAUAUCCCGUUUGCGAGGAAUCUCCACAACUUGGAGCCUCUCGCCCUUACACUUGAGAUUCACAAAGAAAUACGGAGUAAGGGAGGAACUAGCAAUGCACACAAGACUCAAAAUCAGAGCAUCAGCACGCACACAAGUCGCAACAAGAGCUCGCAACACAACUCAAUGAGUUCACAACUCAACAAGAGCUCUAGAUGCUAUCACAAUGAACCAAAUGCGUGGAAUCGAUGUCUUGGUGCUUAGGAAUGUUGUAGGAAUGCUUGGUGUUCUCCUCCAUGCGCCUAGGGGUCCCUUUUAUAGCCCCAAGGCAGCUAGGAGCCGUUGAGAGCAAAUCUGGAAGGCUGAUCUUGCCUUCUGUCGACUGGUGCACCGGACAGUCCGGUGCACACCGGACACUGUCCGGUGCACACCGGACACUGUCCGGUGCCCGAUUUCUUUCCUUAAACGGCGCAGCCGACCGUUGGCCGCGGAGAGCCGUUGGCGCACCGGACAUGUCCGGUGCACACCGGACAGUCCGGUGCCCCUUCCGACCAUUGGCCCGGCCACGUGUCACGCGCAGAUACCGCGGCCGACCGUUGGCUCACCGGACAGUCCGGUGCACACCGGACAGUCCGGUGAAUUAUAGUCGUACGUCGCCGGUAAAUUCCCGAGAGCGGCCAGUUCGCCCGAGUCAGUCUGGCGCACCGGACACUGUCCGGUGCACCACCGGACAGUCCGGUGCUCCAGACCGAACAGUCCGGUGCUCCAGACCGAACAGUCCGGUGCUCCAGACCGAACAGCCUUUUGGCUGUACACAGCCAACUUUUCUCUGACUCGAUUCCUCCUGUUUCAAGCACUUAGACACAAUACAUUAGUCUUCAAAACAAUGUACUAAGGCUUAGAAACAUACCUUUACUCUUGAUUUGCACUUUGUCCAUCCAUGGGUAUAGAUUCACAUUUAAGCACUUGUAUUGGCACUCAAUCACCAAAAUACUUAGAAAUGGCCCAAGGGCACAUUUCCCUUUCAACAUGGCAUUCCCACCCCCAAAGGGGAGCUCUCGCACCUGCAACUCACAAACUCCAUAGUUUAUAUCGCUUUGACAAGGAACCUGCCAAUUCCGCCCCAUUCAACACCAAGAGUCACCCCUACAAACCAUAGUUUGUCCCGCUUUGACAAGGAACCUACCAUCGGACUCGCAUCGAGUUGAGGACUCCUUCAAUCCAGUAGACUUCGAGAUCAGUGAAUAAGAUGAAGAUGUUGGGGUCAACUGUGAAUAUCAUCUGCUACUCAAGAACCUUUGCAUGAAAAGUGACAGCCUUUGGAAACAGAGAGAGGCCUUAGCUACCAGAAAGCACCACAGUAAAAUGCAUGAUAAAGUGCUAAAGCUGAUCUAAGAGGAAAAGGACAAACUAUGGAUUUUGCAACAGGAAGCGACUGACCCACAGCAGCACGAAUACACCUUGCAGCCUUCACAAAGCGCAAAAUGGCACCACAAGUUUACCCAACAACCUUCACAAACAUGACACAUGUACACUCACCAACCUCCGUCAAAAGAACAAAGACAACACGACUUCGAGGACAACAUUUGGCCAGCACAACAUUAUGUUCCAUUCCAUAAUUUCAACUUCGUAGACGAAUGAUGCCCACUCUCCACCAGGCUACAGUCUAUCCCAUGGCCACAAAAUUACCGAUCAGGCAACUAGCUCAAGUAUAACGACAACUCAGACCCUUCGCAGUAUAUCAUGAGCUAACAAGUGACCGUGUCAUCACAUGGAGAGGGGAUGACAAUGCCAUGGUGAAGCCAUUCAUCAUCACCCUAAGAGCAUCUCCAACAACGCGACCUAUAAAAUGCCUUAUAAUUUAAGAAACAAGUAUAUUUUGUAGGAUUUAUGGCGUGUUUGGAAGCCAAGUAUUUCAAAACCAUGGUUUUGAAAAACUACGGUAUUAAGAUGUCAUGACACAACCGUAGUAUUUUUUACAUCACUCUUGGCAAUACAUGUUUGAUCGAAGACAAAGUAUCUAAAAUCAUGAUAUUUAGUAUUACAUGUGUAAGGCUAGUCAUACACAAAAUCUUUGGGUUGGAGUGUAGGUUUAAAUACUCUAAAAGUAUCAUGAUAUCUACAAAACCAUGGUAUUGAAAACAAAGUUUUUUAUGUAGCCAAACACUUCUUGGCAAUAAUACUAUGGAGUUCUCUGAUACUAUAAGUUUACCUAAAAACUCUAAAAAAUACUUUGCUUUCAAACACCCCCUUAGGACACCAACAAAAUAUUCUGCUUUAACAGUAAAUCCCCAAAUCUAGAUUACAGGGCAGCAUACUACAAUGUAGUAUAUUUGAGGCACUUGAGAUGGUGUCUUAUACUUUUUUGAUCAAAAUUUAUAAAAUAACGCACUGUUGUAGUAGUUUUUUCUGCGUAUAGUCUUAUAUUUCAAUUUGAUGUACCAGUUUAAGAUAUUGUUGGAGAUGCUCUAAGUGUGCAUCUUUGUACUCUCUUCACCUGCACUUUCCUUUGUAUAGCCAGACACACACCGUAGCAGUGGAAUCUAUGCCUUGAUAUCUGCCGGUGAAGACCAAAGCAGACGGCCUCUUUAGCAAUUGGGGAGUCAGUUUGAGGCUCAGAUUGGCCUCACUCUCCUCCUUGUGUAUGCAGCUGCAAAGAUGAAAGAGGUCGGUCUAGUAGCAAGUGGCUUGGCUUCCACCACCGCCGACUUUUGGAGAAACACGCAACGAAUCCGGCCGGGGUCAUCGUCGUCAUGGUAUGGCAGCGUUAUUUAUCGUCUCCUCCGUCACCCAAAUCCGACCAACGCAUCCGAAGUUAGCUAGUACAUGCGUACAGGCGAGAACCAAACACGUCUUGAACCUAGUAAGGACUUAUUCGGUUAUUCCAAUUUCACGUGUACUGAAAUGGAUUGAAACGAAUUUUGACUUGUUAUAGAUUUAAACCGACUCAAUAUCAUUUAAUCCAUAUAAAUUAACGGUGAAACAAACAAGCCUUAAAACAGAUCUGAUGUAUCCAUACAAAACUUAACCUGUUAUGAAAAAUAAUACUCCUUCCACCUAAAGUAGUAUUUAUUUUAGCUCUUGAUUUAUAUGUCUAUUUAUAUGUCUAUAUUCAAAUAGAUGAUAAUAGAUCUAGACACAUAUAUAAAAUACAUACACCAAGUAUUGUAUAAAUCCAUUAGUUCUCUAAAAUGAAUUUUAAUUUGAGAUGAAGUGAGUAUAAAACAACUUAAAAUAAUAUGAAAUUGAAUGACUUAAAAUGACUAAAUAUCAGAUAGAAAGAACUGACUUAGAUUCAACCUGCACGUUGCUUAGAUGGAACGUAUAAUAUCGUAAAGCCUAUCUUAAAAUACUGUAAGGUGGAAGAAAUGACUUAGAUUUAACCAUGCAAUGCAUGAAUAACUUAGAUGCAAUAUAAAAAAAUGUGAGUUAGAAAGAAUAACUUAGAUUCAACACUACAGUAGCAGAAAUGACUUAAAAGUAAAUAAAGUGUCUUAAAUACUAGAAUAACUUAGAUGUAACAUGUAAUGUCUUAAACAUUGCAGGUUAGUAGUGAUUUGCAAGUAUAUAUUUAUAUAGUUUAACCAAACUGGACUUAUUUUUUUGGAUACGUAUAUUGAAUUUAUAUUUUUACAUCAUUUGGGGACCAUGACGAUUGACGACACAAUUAAGAAUUUAAAUGGGUGAUUUGCAAGUUUAACAGCUAGAUGAUAGAACCAAAAGUUUGAGGACCUAAUAAGCGAUUGCGAGUUUAGAGGCGGAGAUGAUAUGGGUAAAAAGUCUGUGAUAAAGAACUUUAUUGUUGUUGUUGUAAAAAACCGGAAUAACACAGUCGAAGAAGUUCAGAGGACUGCUAGUGGGCUUUUAUUACUUUAUCAAGCUGGAUCGGAGCAUGAAAAUCAGACGUCUGGAAUAUAUAGCAAAUUACUUAUUGAAAAAUGUAUUCAACGAUCUACCUUAUUAUAAUAUCAAUUAUGUAUAAUAAGUAUUUGUGUGUUUUUUUAUAUAUUUGGUGAAAACCGAAAGCGUUUGAAGGAACUCCUUCAGACAGAACGAUUUGGUGGCGAAGAGGAAGCAGUUGUCGCCAAAGUAAUAAGCACACGACUACUGAUGACUGGCGUUGUCAAUCUGUAAUACUGUACCCAGAUGGCCAGAUGGCCCCCCUACUGUUUCCUCUUGCCGUUGACAUUCCUCGUCCUCCCUCGAGGAUGGAUGACUGCUGAAAUCCGCAGGUGCACGUGUCGAUCUCCAAGACGGCAAGGAACAGUACAAUACGUAUGUCUCGGUCUUCAACUAUGAAACAGUAAAAAUUCUCGGUUGCCGUCACUGUGUGCCUGACCCUGUUCCUGAAAACGAGAGAAGUAAACGUGUUCAGCUGGAUCGCACAUUGACUUUUGAGAGAGAGAGAGAGAGAGAGAGAGAGGAAAGGGAGGGGGCAGGGGACACGUAGAAGAUGACUUGUCGUGUGCGGAUGGAUCGGCUGCUCGAACAGCUCCAGACACACACAGCGCAAUAAUUCACACCGCCUUUCCAUUUCGGCGUGCAAUAGCCAAUAGCAAAUGGCAGUCAAAUACUCCAGUUACCUGCAAAACUGGAAACAGGCUCGGUCGGCGACCAGCACGUCCGGCAACCAAUCUGGCGCGCGGUCCACACCGCACUGAAAACUAAACAAAUAUAUAAACGCGCGCCUAUGAUCCGUCCCACAUUUGUUCUCCCUCCCAUUCCAAACAGCGAGAGACGAGGGUGGGCGUCAGAGAGCGGAGCGCACAGUGAGGCUGAGGCAGAGCACUACGGGUCGGUAUGGACCUCAAAAUUCCGAUGUGAAAGGGAGGGUAGGCCCGGCCGCACUAGCCACACACACCUGCCGCGCCGGCUCCCUUUCAGAAGUGGCGCUGCCGCUGCGCCUGCGCCUGCGCGGGCGUGUGUAGCGGGUUACCGAGCAGCAGCAGCAAGGCCAGCAGGCCAAUCACAUGCAUGUGCGCUGCCUGCCUCCUCCUCCUCACUGCCAUGUCGUCUUCCUCCUCUAUAAAUAAAGGUCCCCCCGUCCCGGCUGACCACCACCAACUUGCCAUUGCCUGCGCAGCGGAGCGAGCUACCACUACCUACCACACCACGCGAUCGACCAGGCCACACGGCCGGGUUGCCUUGACUAGUUGACUUGUGUCGGAAGCAGGGAGGGAGGGAGAGAAGAGAGCGCGCGCGCGAGCUGAGGGAAUGGAUGUGGAGAUGAGCUGCGCGGCGCCGGAGGCGGCGGCCGUCCCCGUCGACUGGCGCGGCCGCCCGUGCCGGCCGCGGCGGCACGGCGGCAUGCGCGCCGCCGUCUUCGUCCUAGGUGCGAGCGCCGUGCGCGUACUGCUCUUGUCGCUGCUGCCGGCCGGCAGCAAUGUUCAUGCCACGCACAUUAUUGAGCUACAGCUAGCUAGCGCCUAGCGCGGGCGGGCGUGUGGUGAUUAUAUAACAAUAAUAAUACGUAUUAGUAUAAUCGCAGGCGUCCAGGCGUUCGAGAUCAUGGCGAUAGCGGCGGUGGGGAACAACCUCAUCACCUACGUGUUCGGGGAGAUGCACUUCCCGCUGUCGCAGGCGGCCAACGUGGUGACCAACUUCGUCGGCACCAUCUUCCUCCUCGCCCUCCUCGGCGGCUUCCUCUCCGACUCCUACCUCGGCUGCUUCUGGACCAUGCUCAUCUUCGGCUUCGUCGAGCUCUCGGUACGUCAGCGCGCUCGCUCGCUCGUUCGUUCGAUUCGUUCUUGCUGCGCUAGUAAACCUUGCGAUUGUUCUAGUUCUAGCUCGUAGCUCGUCAUCUGGCUGGCUGGCUGGCUGCUGUGCUGCUGGGCAUGGUAGAGUCGUCGGUUUCACCACGCACCAGCAAGGCUUGUGUGCUCGUAGUGGGCAUGCGCCUCACGGAGUGAUAGCUACGUGCCCGUGUGGCCCGGGCCCCGGUGCGGUGAUUGACCCAUCACUUCCCUUUUUUUUUUCUAGUGGUGUUUGCGAGUUGUUGCGACAACAGAUGUGUUUUUCUUUUAUCAAUAAAACGCGAAGGAGAACGUUGCAAGUUUCAUUGCACAAAGGAGGAGGACUGGAGCAGACAAAUACCACUAAAAAUAAAGCAGGCCCUGCAAGAACAAAAAAAAAA
rnacentral:lncRNA from 1 species